CUAAACUUUGUUAGUGCUGUUUCUUUGCUAUUCUUUUACCUUUCUUGGUCAGAGCGAUGUAGUGGGAGCUGCAAGCUUCACGUGCUCAACUUUGGCAGAGACUUUGGCAAAGUUAUCUGUGGUACCCAUGAGCUAUUGUUGCGUGUGGGAAGUGGGUGAUUGAACAGUAAGAUUCAUGUGCUUUCGACUUCACCAGAAGUCUUCGACAGAAUGCCCAUAAUUUCCGCAAAGCUGAGUGUGCGUGUGACAGGUGCUGACAAGGCUAGAAAAGUAGGUGCCUCUUCGAUUUCUGAGAUCGGCCCUCGUGAUCUCUGAGCAGCCCAGCUUUUGAGAAAACGAGCGCCUCUUCGAUUGAUUCGGAGAACGAUGCCUCUUCGAUUUUUGAGAAAGCAAUCAUGCUGGGGGUCUGGCUCUCGAGAUUCGGGGAGCAGUGUUUCUUCGAUUUUUGAGAAAGUAAUCAUGUUGGGAGUCUGGCUCUCGAGAUUCGGAGGGCGGCGCCUCUUCGAUUUUGGAGCAAGCAAUCUUGUUGGAAGUGUUUUCUCGAAUGUGAGUAAAGGUUGGGCAUGUUUGCUAGUCUACCUUGCCCCGAAGCACAGAGGUUGACACACAUGGACUUUCCAAUUAUCCAGCAAUGGUACUGUUCCUUUACCCUCUCUUCGAUUUUUGAGAAAGUAGUCAUGUUGGGAGUCUGGCUCUCGAGAUUCGAAGGACGGUGCCUCUUCGAUUUUGGAGCAAGCAAUCUUAUUGGGAGUGUUUUCUCGAAUGUGAGUAAAGGUUGGGCAUGUUUGCUAGUCUACCUUGCCACGAGGCACAGAGGUUGACACACAGGGACUUUCUAAUUAUCCAGCAGUGGUACUGUUCCUUUACCCUUGUGGGUAAUAAUAUGGUAGCUAGACCUUCAAAAUUUAUGGGUCUAAACUUUGUUAGUGCUGUUUCUUUGCUAUUCUUUUACCCUUCUUGGUCAGAGCGAUGUAGUCGGAGCUGCAAGCUUCACGUGCUCAACUUUGGCAGAGAACUUUGGCAAAGUUAUCUGUGGUACCCAUGAGCUAUUGUUGCGUGUGGGAAGUGGGUGAUUGGACAGUAAGAUUCAUGUGUUUUCUACUUCCCCAGAAGUCUUCGACAGAAUACCCAUAAUUUUCGCAAAGCUGAGUGUGCGUGUGACAGGUGCUGACAAAGUUGGAAAAGUAGGUGCCUCUUCAAUUUCUGAGAUCGGCCCUCGUGGUCUCUGAGGAGCCCAGCUUUUGAGAAAGCGAGCGCCUCUUCGAUUUCUGAGAUCGGCUUUCAUGGUCUUUGAGCAGCCCAACUUUUGAGAAAGCAAACACCUCUUCGAUUUAUGAGAUCACCCUCGUGGUCUCUAAGCAGCCCAGCUUUUGAGAAAGCAAACGCCUUUUUGAUUUCUGAGCAGGCGCCUCUUCGAUGUCUGAAGCUCCGUCGAGUGCAGCUUUUUAUAGGGGCUGGCAUUAAGUUCCAAAGCACACUUGAAUCUCCACCAGUAGAAGCUCCAUUCUUGCACUUCUAAGAUCUUGAUUUGUCCGACUUCUUCUCUCUUCAACACCUUUGAAAAUGUCUGGCCCCUCCGACCGUCGUUUUGACUUGAACCUUGUUGAAGAGGUAGCCCCGCCUUCUCCAGACAACAUAUGGCGCCCAUCCUUCGUCUCCCCUACUGGUCCUCUUACCGUUGGGGAUUCCGUGAUGAAGAAUGAUAUGACCGCUGCGGUGGUGGCCAGGAACUUUCUCACUCCCAAAGAUAACAGACUACUUUCCAAACGGUCUGAUGAGUUAGCUGUUAAGGAUUCGCUGGCUCUCAGUGUUCAGUGUGCAGGUUCUGUGUCUAAUAUGGCCCAACGCCUAUUUGCUCGAACCCGCCAAGUUGAAUCAUUGGCGGCCGAAGUGAUGAGUCUCAAACAGGAGAUUAGAGGGCUCAAGCAUGAGAAUAAACAGUUGCACCGGCUCGCACAUGACUAUGCUACAAACAUGAAGAGGAAGCUUGACCAGAUGAAGGAAACUGAUGGUCAGGUUUUACUUGAUCAUCAGAGAUUUGUGGGUUUGUUCCAAAGGCAUUUAUUGCCUUCGUCUUCUGGGGCUGUACCGCGUAAUGAAGCUCCAAAUGAUCAACCUCUGAUGCCUCCUCCUUCUAGGGUUCUGUCCAGUACUGAGGCUCCGAAUGAUCCCCCUUCGAUGCUUUCUCUUUCUGGGGCUCUACCGACUGCUGAGACUUCUCCUAAGCAACCUUUGUGAAGGCUCCAUCUUGUUUGUUUAUUUUGACUCAUGUAUAUGUACAUAUUUUUAGCUUAUCGGGGAUAUCAAUAAAUAAGUUUUCCUUCAUUUCAACGUAUUGUGUUAAAUACACCAAAGCCUUCUUCGCUAAGUUCUUUGAAUUUUCUUUUGUUGAAGCUUGUAUGUUGAAGCUUUCUGAGUGGAGCAUGUAGGUUGGGGCAGUGUUCCCUUAAUUUUCCGAGUGAGGAAAACUUCUCGGUUGGAGACUUGGAAAAUCCAAGUCACUGAGUAGGAUCGGCUAUAUGAAUCUUAGAACGCCAUUGUGCUCGGUCCUGUGUCAUGUCCCUCGUUAGAUCCAAGUACUCUAAGUCUUUUCUUAGAGUCUCUUCCAAAGUUUUCCUAGGUCUUCCUCUACCUCUUCGGCCCUGAACCUCUGUCCCAUAGUCGCAUCUUCUAAUCGGAGCGUCAGUAGGCCUUCUUUGCACAUGUCUAAACCACCGUAACCGAUUUUCUCUCAUCUUUCCUUCAAUUUCGGCUACUCCUACUUUACCCCGGAUAUCCUCAUUCCUAAUCUUAUCCUUUCUCGUGUGCCCACACAUCCAACGAAGCAUCAUCAUCUCCGCUACACCCAUUUUGUGUACGUGUUGAUGCUUCACUGCCCAACAUUCUGUGCCAUACAGCAUCGCCGGCCUUAUUGCCGUCCUAUAAAAUAAAAUUUCCCUUGAGCCUUCAUUGUGCACAUACGGCGUCUCACACAAACACGCCGGAUGCACUCUUCCACUUCAUCCAUCCAGCUUGUAUUCUAUGGUUGAGAUCUCCAUCUAAUUCUCCGUUCUUUUGCAAGAUAGAUCCUAGGUAAAAACGAAAACGGUCGCUCUUUGGUAUUUGAUCUCCGAUCGAUCCUCACCCCUAACUCGUUUAACUUUUGGCCUCCAUUUGCACUGAACUUGAACUCCAUAUAUUCUGUCUUUGAUCGGCUUAGGCGAAGACCUUUAGAUUCCAACACUUCUCUCCAAAGGUUAAGCUUUGCAUGCAUUUACCCCUUCCUGAGUUUCAUCUAUCAACACUAUAUCGUCUGCGAAAAGCAUACACCAAGGAAUAUCAUCUUGAAUAUGUCCUGUUAACUCAUCCAUUACCAACGCAAAAAGGUAAGGACUUAAGGAUGAGCCUUGAUGUAAUCCUACAGUUAUGGGAAAGCUUUCGGUUUGUCCUUCAUGAGUUCUUACGGCAGUCUUUGCUCCUUCAUACAUAUCCUUUAUAGCUUGGAUAUAUGCUACUCGUACUCCUUUCUUCUCUAAAAUCCUCCAAAGAAUGUCUCUUGGGACCCUAUCAUACGCUUUUUCCAAAUAUAUAAAGACCAUGUGUAAAUCCUUUUUCCCAUCUCUAUAUCUUUCCAUCAAUCUUCGUAAGAGAUAGAUUGCCUCCAUGGUUGAGCGCCCUGGCAUGAACCCGAAUUGGUUGUCCGAAACCCGUGUCUCUUGCCUCAAUCUAUGCUCAAUGACUCUCUCCCAGAGCUUCAUUGUAUGACUCAUUCACUUAAUACCCCUAUAGUUCAUGCAAUUUUGUACGUCGCCCUUAUUCUUGUAGAUAAUCACCAAAGUGCUCGUUCGCCACUCAUUUGGCAUCUUCUUCGUUUUCAAAAUCCUAUUGAAAAGGUCAGUGAGCCAUGUUAUACCUGUCUCUCCCAAAACUUUCCACACUUCGAUUGGUAUAUAUCGUCUGGGCCUAUUGCUUUUCUAUGCUUUCAUCUUCUUCAAAGCUACAACCACUUCUUCCUUCCGGAUUCGACGAUAAAAAGAGUAGUUUCUACACUCUUCUAAGUUACUUAACUCCCCUAAAGAAGCACUCAUUUCAUGUCCUUCAUUGAAAAGAUUAUGAAAAUAACCUCUCCAUCUGUCUUUAACCGCGUUCUCUGUAGCAAGAACCUUUCCAUCCUCAUCCUUGAUGCACCUCACUUGGUUUAGGUCCCUUGUCUUCUUUUCCCUUGCUCUAGCUAGUUUAUAGAUAUCCAACUCUCCUUCUUUGGUAUCUAGUCGUUUAUACAUAUCGUCGUAAGCCGCUAACUUAGCUUCUCUGACAGCUUUCUUCGCCUCUUGCUUCGCUUUUCUAUACCUUUCACCAUUUUCAUCGGUCCUCUCAUUGUAUAAGGCUUUACAACAUUCCUUCUUAGCCUUCACCUUUGUUUGUACCUCCUCAUUCCACCACCAAGAUUCCUUUUGGUGUGGGGCAAAGCCCUUGGACUCUCCUAAUACCUCUUUUGCUACUUUUCGGAUACAACUAGCCAUGGAAUCCCACAUUUGGCUAGCUUCCCCCUCUCUAUCCCACACACAUUGGGUGAUUACCUUCUCUUUGAAAAUGGCUUGUUUUUCUUCUUUUAGAUUCCACCAUCUAGUCCUUGGGCACUUCCAAGUCUUGUUCUUUUGUCUCACUCUUUUGAUAUGUACAUCCAUCACCAACAAGCGAUGUUGAUUAGCCACGCUCUCUCCUGGUAUAACUUUGCAAUCCUUACAAGUUAUACGAUCCCCUUUCCUCAUUAGAAGAAAAAUCUAUUUGUGUUUUUGACGACCCACUCUUGUAGGUGAUCACAUGUUCUUCUCUCUUCUUAAAGAAGGUGUUGGCUAAGAAGAGAUCAUAUGCCAUUGCAAAAUCCAAGAUAGCUUCCCCAUCCUCGUUUCUCUCCCCAAAACCAUGGCCACCAUGAAAACCUCCAUAGUUGUCUGUCUCCCUGCCCACGUGUGUCCAUUUAAAUCUCCUCCUAUAAAUAACUUCUCCGUCUGAGCAAUUCCUUGCACCAAGUCUCCAAGGUCUUCCCAAAAAUUUCUCCUUCGAACUCGUAUCCAACCCUACUUGAGGUGCGUACGCACUAAUCACAUUGAUAAGUUCUUGUCCUAUUACAAUCUUGAUUGCCAUGAUUCUAUCUCCUACCCUCUUGACAUCUACAACAUCUUGUGUCAAGGUCUUGUCCACGAUGAUGCCAACACCGUUUCUCGUUCUAUUUGUGCCCGAAUACCAAAGUUUAAACCCUGAGUUUUCUAGAUCAUUUGCCUUACUACCAACCCACUUAGUUUCUUGUAGGCACAUAAUAUUUAUCCUUCUCCUCACCAUAACUUCCACUACUUCCAUAGAUUUUCCCGUUAAGGUUCCUAUAUUCCACGUUCCUAAACGCAUUUUUCUCUCUUGAACUCUACCCUUCUGUCCUAGCUUCUUCACCCUCCCCCGUCUAAUAGGAUCAAAGUACUUCUUUUGUGUGUCCCGUGUAAAGUUGAUAGGAGCAUAUGCUCCCAAACAACUUUGAGUGGAGUCGUUCGAAAAGAAGUUUCUACGGCCCCCUUGCUCAUUUAACACUGCAUCCGGGUGCCGAUGGAGAUACAGCGACCCUUGCUCACUUAUCACUGUGCUCGGGCCACACAGCGCGCCACUUACGGGUGACGCCCUAGCUUUAGCGCGAUUUUGUUCUGGAUUCAUUUUCAUAAGGAUUCGACGUGAUCAUGGAGUGCCGGCUGUCGACUACCUGACGCCCUCCCCCUCCUCCUUUAUCCGGGCUUGGGACCGGCAAUGUAAAAUUACAUAGGCGGAGUUAGUGAAAAAUAUAGUAGUGAGGCAAAAAAAUAUUAUUAAAAUAGGGUUCCACCCUCAAGGAUAUUUUAUUAACGGAAAAUAUUACUUUAAUUUUCAAAUUUCACAGUGAGGCGAAGGUGAAAAUAAAUAGUUUGAAGGACGAGUUAUGUACGAAUUUGUAAAAACCGACAAAAAACCACGAUUUUUGUUAAAAAUGCAAAUUUUUUAUUUUCGAGAAAUAUUUUUCGUGAGCAUUAAGGAAAAUUUUAUAAGGCAUUUGGAAGUAGAUUUUCGAUUUAUUGAGCAACAAAUGUAUAUUUAGUAGACCAUUUUAGUCAAAAACUAAAUAAAUUAGUGAAAAAUAUAGUAGUGAGGCCCAAAACAUUGCCCUCAACAAUAUUAACAGAAAGUGAUACUUUAAUUUUCUAACUUCACGGUGAGGCGAAGGUGAAAAUAAAUAGUUAGACUGGCGAUUUAUAUACGAAUUUGUAAAUACCGACUAAAAAUUAUGAGUGUUAACCCAUAUUUUUUUUGUCACAAAUGCAAUUUUUUUUAUUUUCGCGAAAUAUUUUGUGCAAGCAUUAAGAAAAAUUUACAAGGCAUUUGGAAGCAGAUUUACUAUUUAUUGAGUAACAAAUGUAUAUUUAGUAGACUAUUUAAGUCGAAAACAAAAAAAAAUAAGGGAAAAAUAUAGUUAGUGAGGCCCAAAACAUUGUUAAAAUUGGGUUCCACCCACAAGAAUAUAACGCAAAGUAUUACUAUAAUUUUCAAACUUCACGGUGAGGCAAAGGUGAAAAUAAAUAGUUUGUACGACAAUUUAUGUACGAAUUUGUAAAAACUGACUAAAACCCAUCAGUGUUUACCCACGUUUUUUUUGUCAAAAAUGCACAUUUUUUAUUUUCAUGAAAUGUUUUUUGUGAGCAUUAAGGUAAAAUUUAUAAGGGAUUUGGGAGCGGAUUUACGAUUUAUUGAGCAACAAAUGUAUAUUUAGUUGAGUAUUUAAGUCGAAAACUUAAAAAAUAAGUGAAAAAUAUAGUUGUGAGGCCCAAAACAUUGUUAAAAUAAGGUUCCACCCUCAAGAAUAUUAACGGAAAGUAUUACUUUAAUUUUCAAACUUAACGGUGAGGCAAAUGUGAAAAUAAAUAGUUUGAACGACGAUUUAUGUACGAAUUUGUAAAAACUGACAAAAAACCGUGAAUGUAACACCCACGUUUUUUGUCAAAAAGGCAAAUUUUUUAUUUUCACGAAAUAUUUUCCAUGAGCAUUAAGGAAAAUUUAUAAGGAAUUUGGAAGUGGAUUUACUAUUUAUUGAGUAACAAAUGUAUAUUUAGUAGACUAUUUAUGUCGAAAACUAAAAAAAUAAGUGAAAAAUAUAGUAGUGAGGCCCAAAACAUUGUUAAAAUUGGGAUCCACCCUCAAGAGUAUAACAAAAAGUAUUACUAUAAUUUUUAAACUUCACAGUGAGGUGAAUGUGAAAAUAAAUAGUUUGAACAACGAUUUAUGUACGAAUUUGUAAAAACUGACUAAAAACCGAGAGUACUAAGCCACAUUUUUUUGUCAAAAAUGAAAAACUUUUAUUUUCUCGAAAACAUUUCUGGGAGCAUUAAGGAAAAUUUUAUAAGGCAAUUGGAAGCAUAUUUACAAUUUGUUGAGCAACAAAUGGAUAUUUAGUAGACUAUUUAAGUCGAAAACUAAAAAAAUAAGUGAAAAAUAUAGUAGCGAGUCCCAAAACAUUGUUAAAAUAGGGAUCCACCCUCAAGAAUUCUAAUAGAAAGUAUUACUUUAGUUUUCAAACUUCAAGGUGAGGCGAAUGAAAAUAAAUAGUUUGAAUGACGAUUUAUGUAGGAAUUUGUAAAAAUCGACUAAACACCGUGAAUUAUCCACGUUUAUUAUCAAAAAUGCAAAUUUUUUAGUCACGUAAAAUAUUUUCAUGAGCAUUAAGCAAAAUUUGUAAGGCAUUUGGAAGCAGUUUUGCGAUUUAUUGAGCAACAAAUGUACAUUUAGUAGACUAUUUAAAUCCAAAACUAAAAAAAAUGAGUGAAAAUAGAGUAGUGAAGCCUAAAACAUUGUUAAAAUGGGGUUCCACCCUCAAGAAUAUAACAAAAAGUAUUACUAUAAUUUUCAAACUUCACGAUGAGGCGAAGAUGUAAAUAAUUAGUUUUAAAGACAAUUUAUGUACGAAUUUGUAGAAACUAACUAAAAAUCGUGAGUUAACCACGUAUUUUUGUCAAAAAUGUAAAUUUUUAUUUUCAAGAAAUAUUUUCUGUGAGCAUUAAGGAAAAUUUUAUAAGGCAUUUGGAAGCAGAUUUACGAUUUAUUGAGCAACAAAUGUAUAUUUAGCAGACUAUUUACAUCGAAAACUAAAAAAAUAAGUGAAAAAUAUAGUAGUGAGGCAAAAAAUAUUGUUAAAAUGGGGUUCCACCCGCAACAAUACUAACGGAAAGUAUUACUUUAAUUUUCAAACUUCACAGUGAGGCGAAAGUGAAAAUAAAGAGUUUGAACGACGAUUUAUAUACGAAUUUGUAAAAACAGACCAAAAAGCAUGAGUGUUAACCCACUUUGUGUAACAUCCCACAUCGCCCAGGGGAGUGGAUCUUGUAAGCCUUAUAUGUAUAUUCUCAUCUCUACCUAGCACGAGAGUUUGUGGGAGUUCACUGGCUUCAGGUUCCAUCGGAACUUCGAAGUUAAGCGAGUUCGCACGAGAACAAUUCCAUGAUGUGUAACCCACUGGGAAGUUCUUGUGUGAGUUCCCAAAAACAAAAUCGUGAGGGCGGGGUCGGGGCCCAAAGCGUACAAUAUCGUGCUACGGCGGAGUCGAGCCCGGGAUGUGACAAUUUGGUAUUAUAACUAAUCCCUGGCCAGGGGUGUGCCGACGAGGACGUCGGGCCUCUAAGAGGGGUGGAUUGUAACAUCCCACAUCGCCCAAGGGAGUGGAUCCUGUAAGCCUUAUAUGUAUAUUCUCAUCUCUACCUAGCAUGAGGCCUUUUGGGAGCUCACUGGCUUCAGGUUCCAUCGGAACUUCGAAGUUAAGCGAGUUCGCACAAGAACAAUCCCAUGAUGGGUGACCUACUGGGAAGUUCUCGUGUGAGUUCCCAGAAACAAAACCGUGAGGGCGUGGUCGGGUCCCAAAGCAGACAAUAUCGUGCUACGGCGGAGUCGAGCCCGGGAUGUGACAAUUUGGUAUCAGAACCAAUCCCUGGACGAGGGUGUGCCGACUAGGACGUCGGGCCCCUAAGGGGGGUGGAUUGUAACAUCCCACAUCGCCCAAGGGAGUGGAUCAUGUAAGCCUUAUAUCUAUAUUCUCAUCUCUACCUAGCACGAUGUCUUUUGGGAGCUCACUAGCUUCGGGUUCCAUCGGAACUCCGAAGUUAAGUGAGUUCGCACGAGAACAAUCCCAUGAUGGGUGACCUACUGGGAAGUUCUCGUGUGAGUUUCUAGAAACAAAACCGUGAGGGCGUGGUCGGGGCCCAAAGCGAAAAAUAUCGUGCUACGGUGGAGUUGAGCCUGGGACGGACGAGAGCACUUGAACGUAUUUAUUUACACCCAGCCUGUUGUACAAACCACAUUAGGUGGUUCCGACUCGUGUGCAGGGAACUAGUUGAGGAGCUAUAAACUCAGUCGUACAGGCCACAUUAUGUGACUCUGGCUUGCAUACCAUUUCAUAUUGGGUUAUUCCACAUGGCUUACUUACUUCAUUGAUGAGAUAUUUGACGUGGCAUAUUUGUGGAUUUGCUAUUUUGAACAUGGUUUUGAGAUAUAUAUAUAUAUAUAUAUAUAUAUAUAUAUAUAUAUAUAUAUAUGCAUGUUAUUUUCUGGGAAUUAUACAGUUUUACGGCGAAGGGUUACUACCUUUGAUAAUUGCAAUGGUUUUUGAAAAGCUUUGUUUUUGCCCACUCGCACUUUCUGUUUUGCGCCCCUCUAGGUUUUAAUUGCUUAAAGUUCGUAUCGACGAGGAUUCUUGGAAAAUCUCAGGGUAGGUGGUUACUUCUGAGAGUAUAAUCCUUAUCCACUCUACUGUACUUACUUAUGCUCUAACGUCACGUGUGAAGUGAGUUCAUUCCCGCUCACCAGCGCACUCUGGUAUUUAGGCACUCUUAGGUUUAAAUUUAUUCACUUUUUUCCACAUCAUGACACUUUAUGGCUUCGUCACCUUCCAGGUGUCGGCUAGCACAGCUCGAUUCGAAGUCCUAGCGGACAUUUCAGGUCGGGGUGUGUCAGUUUGGUAUACAAUCAUCAAUACCUAUACUCACCUCGAACUUACCUGUGCGUCCGCAGCGUUAAAAAUAUUAUACACAACUAAGAGAAGCAUAUUCUAAGAUAUAAAGCAUUUGACAUGGCAUACUUAUGAAUAUCGCUUUUCUGAGCAUGGUUUUGAGUUAUGUAUAUAUUCUAUUUUUUCUGGAAAAUUAUACAGGUUUUACGGCGAGGGGUUACUACCUUUGAUAAUUGAAAUGGUUUUUGAAAAGCUUUGUUUUUGCCCACUCACACUUUCUGUUUUGCGCCCCUCUAGGUUUUAAUUGCUGAAGGUUCGUAUCGACGAGGAUUCUUGGCAAAUCUCAGGGUAGGUGGUUACUUAUAAAGGUAUAAUCCUUAUCCACUCUACUCUACUUACUUAUGCUCUAACGUCACGUGUGAAGUGGGUUCAUUCCCACUCACCAGUGCACUAUGGUAUUUAGGCACUCUUAGGUUUAAAUUUAUUCACAUUUUUCCACAUCAUGACACUUUAUGGCUUCUACACCUUCCAGGUGUCAGCCAGCACAACUCGAUUCGGAGUCCUAAUGGACAUUCCGGGUCGAGGUGUGUCAGUUUGGGUGACCCAGUGGGAAGUUCUCAUGUGAGUUCCUAAAAACAAAAUCGUGAGGGCGUGGUCGGAGCCCAAAGCGGACAAUAUCGUGCUACGGGGGAGUCGAGUCCGGGAUGUCAUGGAGGCCCAAGUAGGGAUGUGACACUUUGUUUGUCAAAAAUGCAUAUUUUUUAUUUUAGCAAAAUAUUUUCCAUGAGCAUUAAGAAAAAUUUAUAAGGCAUUUAGAAGCAGAUUUACGAUUUAUUGUGCAUAUUUAGUAAGCUAUUUAAGUUGAAAACUAAAAAAAAUUAGUGAAAAGUGUAGUAGGGAGGCCCAAAACAUUAUUAAAAUGGGGUUCCACUCUCAAGAAUAUAACAAAAAGUAUUAUUAUAAUUUUCAAACUUCACAGUGAGGAGAAGGUGAAUAGUUUGAAUGAUGAUUUAUGUACAAAUUUGAAAAAACCGAUUGAAAAUCGUGAGUGUUAACCCUUUUUUUAUGCAAAUAUUAUAUUUUUGUGAAUUAUUUUCCAUGAGCAUUAAGGAAAAUUUAUAAGGCUGCUGGAAGCAAACUUAAGAUUUAUUGAGCAACAAAUGUAUAUUUAUUUGAAUAUUUAAGUCGAAAACAAAAAAAUAAGUGAAAAAUAUAGUAGUGAGGCCCAAAAUAUUGUUAAAAUUGGGUUGCAGCCUCAAGAAUAUAAUGGAAAGUAUUACUAUAAUUUUCAAACAUCACAAUGAGGCAAAGUUGAAAAGAAAUAGUUUGAACGACAAUUUAUGUACGAAACCCAUGUUUUUUUUGUCAAAAAUGCAAAUUUUUUAUUUUCGCUAAAUAUUUUUCGGGAGCAUUGAGGAAAAUUUUAUAAGGCAUUUGGAAGUGCAUUUACAAUUUAUUAAGCAACAAAUGGAUAUUUAGUAGACUAUUUAAGUCCAAACUAAAAAAUUGAGUGAAAAAUAUAGUAGUAAGGCCCAAAAUAUUGUUAAAAUGGGGUUCCACCCUCAACAAUAUUAACAGAAAGUAUUAUUUUAAUUUAAAACUUCACAGUGAGGAAAAUGUGAAAAUAAAGAGUUUGAACGACGAUUUAUAUACGAAUUUGUAAAAACCGAGUAAAAAUCAUGGGUGUCAACCCACUUUUUUGUCAAAAAUGUUUUUUUUUUUUAUUUUUGCGAAAUAUUUUCCAUGAGCAUUAAGGAAAAUUUAUAAGGCAUUUAGAAGCGGAUUUAUGAUUUAUUGUGCAUAUUUAAUAGAAUAUUUAAGCCGAAAAUGAAAAAAAUGAGUGAAAAGUGUAGUAGUGAGGCCCAAAACAUUGUUACAAUGCGGUUCCACCCUCAAGAAUAUAACAAGAAGUAUUACUAUAAUUUGCAAAUUCCACGAUUAGGCGAAGGUGAAAAUAAAUAGUUUGAACUAUGAUUUAUGUGCGGAUUUGUAAAAAUCGACUAUUUUAUUUUCAUGAAAAAUGCAAAAUAUUUUAUUUUUGUGAAAUAUAGUAGUGAGGCCCAAAACACUGUUAAAAUUGGGAUCCACCCUCAUGAGUAUAACAAAAAGUAGGGUAAAUUACAUAGUAGCCCCUCAAGUUUGAGGUCUAUUACAAUCCCAUACAACGUCUUUAAAACAUUUCACUUUCAUACAUCAUGUACCAUUUUAUUUCAAAAUAAUACAUCCGUUAGAUUUUCCGUCCAUUAAUCUGUUAAAUGCUGACGUGGCUGCCACAUUUGUGCUGAUGUGGCUGCCAAAUGUGUGCCACGUGGCAAAAAUAAUAAUUUUUUAAUUUUUUAAAAAAAUACCUAAAUCUUCUAAAUUUAAAAAAAUAAAUAAUAAUAAAAAAUAAAAACCCAGAAUCUGAACAAAACCCCACCCCCGUGAACCCCCCUCAGCCUUCUUCCCUACUCCCAUCUUCCCCCACCCCAUACCUGCACCUUUGAAGGAAAAAAAAAAAACCAGAGAACAACCCAUAUCCCAUAUCCCCGCGAAACCCAUACCCCAUACGACCACCCCCCAACCCAGAUCCCAUUACCACGCCCCCCCCCCCGAACUGCAAGGACGUCAUCCUCACCUGCAUCAUCUUCGUCGUCGAAGACGACAACGAGCAGGAGCAGCAAGGCGACGAUGAGAAAUCCCGGUCGACAGCGAGAUCGGGUGGUGACAAAGGACCUCCGUGAGGAGCGGAGGGAUCAGAGAGAGAGCUCUGCGAUGCAGCGCAGGACCCAAAUUCACCGCCAAGGAGACGACCAGAACGUUGAGCCCAUUCCGACCCAACCCCCGACCCUCAUCCCACUCUCCUCACUCUCUCUCUCUCAAACCCCAAACCCCCCAGAUCCAAAACCCACACAACUCCGCCGGGUCACCUCCGCCAACGCCUUCCUCCUCAGCGGUUUGACCCUCCUCCCACUCUCCUCACUCUCUCUCUCAAACCCCAAACUCCCCAGAUCCAAAAUCCCCACCUUCUUCCCUCUUUCUAUUCGCCCCAACGCCAAUCCUAUAUCCAUCACUCUCUCUCCUCCUUCUGCUUUCUCACUCCUUUCUCUCCCUCUCUGACUCUCUCUCCGGCAACCCCCCCACCCCCCUCCGCGAACCUAGAUCCCAGAUUUGUGCAUUUUUUUUUUUUUUUUUUGCUUUUCUUUUCUGGGUUGAGAUCCCAUUAACCCCUUCCCCCACCCCUCGCGAACUCAGAUCCACACAGUUCGGUGGUGUUGGGAUUGGGAGUGGGGAUGAAGAUGGUGAAGGGAAUGAUUUUUGGGAGGUGGAAUUUGUGGGAUUGGGUUGCAGGGAAAAGGCGAGGCUCGGGUUGGGGGGAAUGAGGAUUUAACGGGAGUGGGUCGUCGGGGGGGGGGUGGGAUUUGAAGGGAGUGGGUCGUCAGGGGAAGGGGGUGGGAUUUGACGGAAGUGGGUCGUCGGGGGAAGGGGGAUUUAACAGGGAGUGGGUCGUCGGGGAAGGGGGUGGGAUUUGACGGGAGUGGGUCGUCGGGGGAAGGGGGAUUUGACGGGAAUGGUUCGUUGGGGGGUGGGGGGGGGGGAGGAGGAGGUUGCUGCGCUAGGUUUCUAGGGGGAUAAAUGGGGAGGUGGGUUUGGGAUUAAUUGGUUUCUGGUUUUGGGGGUUGCGGGUAAAGCUUUCAGGUUUUUUUUUUUUUUUUUUUUUUUUUUUAGAAGAUUAGAUUAAAAAUAAAUAAAAAAUUAAUUUUUUUUGCCACGUGGCAGCCUCAUCAGCACAAAUGUGGUAGUCACGUCAGCAUUUAACAGACUAAUGGAUGAAAAAUCUAACGGAGGUGUUAUUUUGAAAUAAAAUGGUACUGGAUGUAUGAAAGUGAAAUGUUUUAAAGUUGUUGUAUGGAGUUGUAAUUGACCUCAAAUCUGAGGGGCUAGUAUGUAAUUUACUCCAAAAAGUAUUACUAUAAUUUUUAAACUUCAAGAUGAGGCGAAGGUGAAAAUAAAUAGUUUGAACAACUAUUUAUGUACAAAUUUAUGCACUUGAUAAUCACAAAUGAGAUCAUAACAUCCAAAAAAUUAACGACUCAACCCAAAACUAUGAAAUACCAAAUUAAAUACAAAAACAUCACAACCCCAAACCCAAACAAAACCUCAAAUCAAUUAAAAAAAAUGGCCCAACCCGUGUCUCUCUCAUUUUCCCCUUCCCUUGCUCUGUCUUCCCACCUAUCUGUCUCAGUGUAUAUUCUCUAUGCCUCUCACGAAAUCAAAACUGCCAAAACCAUGAACCAACAGAAAACCUGCAAAAUACCAUAAACCUCCAGCUAUUUAUACCUUGGCAUAUUCAUUUUUUUACAACUAUCACUUCAACGAACAAAUGGAUUCAUCCACUAACAGCAUAAAAAAAUUUAUAUCACAAUUGAACUUAACACUUUAUGUCAUCAUCUCCCUCUCAAUGUUCCAUGUUUUCCAUACAAACCAAAACCAGAAAAUUUUCAAAAAUUGGAGUCGCUUGACUCAUCUUUUUUCACAAAUCACAAACCCCUUUUAAUCCAACAAUUGCAAAUACAUAUUAAAAUUGGGAUAAACAGAAGCAGAGAUAACACACCCAAAAAAUAACAGUGUCGUUCCAAUUCCUGCCAAAUCCGAGAUUUAUGAACUGAGAUAACAAAAACUGCAACUGAUCACAAAGCCAAACGGUUAGGGUUUGGUCCAAACUGACAAAAAUCGAAGGGGCAAUAAUCUGAAAUUACAGUUCUAAAAAUCAAAAUACAUUACGAAAAAUAACAAAUAAUUUGUGAAGCAGAGCAGAAGCGCGAUUUACCUCGACGCUUAUGUAGAGGGUUUGGAGGAUGGCUUCCUCGUAGUGGUCCAUGCGACCAAUUUGAUAAUAAGUACUCUGAAUCUCGUCAAUCCCAGACGGAUUCGAACGCAAAAAAGGCCAAAUCUUCGCCCCUCCCGAUGACAACUCUAGAAACAGUGACCAAUUUUAUGAAGCUGGACAAAACACCCACAACCCCACGUUUAAAAGGAUCCAAAACCCUCCACAAAUCAGUUACCAGAAAUAAGAUCUCUUAAAAUACGAAAAAUUUUGGGACAGAGAAGGAGCAGAAGAAAAACAGUGAGAAUAAGGCACGGAUCAGAGAAGGAGCAGAAGAAAGAAAGGUUUAAACGAAAUAGAAAACUCUCGAACUCGAAGCGGACAUAUCGAACUCGAAGGAGCAGAAGGACGAUACACAAUUUAUCUCUAUAUAAAGGAGAACGCAAAUUUUAAUAAAUUUUUCAUAUUGUAAAAAUGCUUCUCACUUCUUAUAACUACAACAACAACAACAAAGCCUUUUCCCACUAAGUGGGGUCGGCUAUAUGAAUCCUAGAAUGCCAUUGCGCUCAUUUGUGUCAUGUCCUCCGUUAGAUCCAAGUACUCAAGUCUUUUCUUAGGGUCUCUUCCAAAGUUUUCCUAGGUCUUCCUCUACUCCUUCGGCCCCGAACCUCUGUCCCGUAGUCACAUUUUCGAACCGGAGCGUCAGUAGGCCUUCUUUGCACAUGUCCAAACCACCGGAACCGAUUUUCUCUCAUAUUUCCUUCGAUUUUGGCUACUCCUACUUUACCUCGGAUAUCCUAAUUCCCAAUCUUAUCCUUUCUCGUGUGCCCAUACAUCCCACGAAGCAUCCUCAUCUCCGCUACACCCAUUUUGUGUACGUUGAUGCUUCACCGCCCAACAUUCUGUGCCAUACAACAUCGUUGGCCUUAUUGUCGUCCUAUAAAAUUUUCCCUUGAGCUUCAGUGGCCUACGACGGUCACACAACACGCCGGAUGCACUCUUACACUUCAUCCAUCCAGCUUGUAUUCUAUGGUUGAGAUCUCCAUCUAAUUCUCCGUUCUCUUGCAAGAUAGAUCCUAGGUAGCGAAAACGGUCACUUUUUGUGAUCUUCGCUAGAUUGCUCCGGUCAUUAGUGUGGAUAAGUAUGUAAAUGGAUAGAGAUAGGAAAGCAAACACAAGAUGUACGUGGUUCACCCAGAUUGGCUACGUCCACGGAAUAGAGGAGUUCUCAUUAAUUGUGAAGGGUUUACACAAGUACAUAGGUUCAAGCUCUCCUUUAGUGAGUACAAGUGAAUGAUUUAGUACAAAUGACAUUAGGAAAUAUUGUGGGAGAAUGAUCUCGUAGCCACGAAACUUCUAAGUACCGGAGUGUGGUAUCGUCUUGACUUGCCUUAUCUGUCUCAUAGGUAGAUGUGGCAUCUUCUCUGGAAGUACUCUUCCUCCAUCCAGGGGUGGUAUCUGUAACUGGUGGAGAUGCACAAGGUAAUGUAUCAAUUUCACUUGAAGCUUACUUGUAGUUUCAUGCUUGGUCAAGCGAGAUACAAACCAUGUAGUAGGAGUCCCCCAAGUCGCCGAGCUGGGGGAUCUGCUGAAAGAGGUGACAGACAAGGUAAGCAAUCAGAGCUCCGGCUGAUUGUUCACAUUCUCCCUAUCUUGCAGGCAGCAUGAAGGAUAAAGAGAAGAAAAAUGAGGAGAGAUGAUAUGGGAUACUUUUGCUUUUGAAGAAGUAACUUUCCACAGGCUUAUUCUUGAACUGAGCUGGAGGGUUUUCUGGUUUCCUCCAGAGUAUAAGGCCGACUGAAGAAUUUGAGGGUCAAAACAAGUCCAUCAAAUCUAGAGUACGUUCGACCCUGCUGAUAUGAGAUACUUUUGCUUUUGAUAGAGUAGUGGAUGUAUCGGCACGUGUGCUGUUACGCUUGUCUCCACAUGCUUCCUUGUAUCCUUCUCACUUGCCCUAUCUGUUCCUUAGGCAGAUGCGGUAUCUUCCCUGGAAGCAUAAGAUGUUGAAGAUGAGUACUCGAGAGCAAUGCCAGGUAAGUAAUCAGGUAAGGGGUUCCAGGCAGUCAAUUCCUGGCUGGAAGCUUGAUUCCAAAUGCUGACUGAUUGCUCUCUUUCUCCUUGUCUUGCAGGUAAGAACAAGGCCAAAGGAAAAGACAGGGAAAAAGCAUGAUAUGGGAUACUCUUGCUUUUAACCCUGAUGAUAUGAGAUAUUCUUGCUCUAGUAUAGCUUGUUUACAGAGGUAUUAUCGGGGGGAAAGAAAGCUGAAUAUUUCGAAAGGCUUUGUUGGGAGUGCCCUCUCAGAUAAGAGAAAGGGUUGAGCAUUUUUGCAGGUCUGCCUGUCCGUUAGGGAUGGAAGUCGACAUAUAUAGGAGUCUCCCUAACAUCAAGUAAUAAUGCUAUUCCUUUACCCUGCUUGGUUAUAGCACGGUAGUGGGAGCUGCCAGCUUCACAUGUUUUAACUCUGUCAGAGCACUUUGAAAAAGUGGUUUGUGGUAUCUGGAAAGCUGAUGUUGCGUGUGAAGAUUACAGACCUGUCAGGGGUCUGGCUCUCGAGAUUCGGAGAGCGGUGUCUCUUCGAUUUUUGAGAAAGUAAUCAUGUUGGGAGUCUGGCUCUCGAGAUUCGGAGGGCCGUGCCUCUUCGAUUUUGGAGCAAGCAAUCUUGUUGGGAGUGUUUUCUCGAAUAUGAGUAAGGUUGGGCAUGUUUGCUAGUCUACCUUGCCACGAAGCACAGAGGUUGACACACAGGGACUUUCCAAUUAUCCAGCAGUGGUACUGUUCCUUUACCCUCUCUUCGAUUUUGAGAAAGUAAUCAUGUUGGAAGUCUGGCUCUCGAGAUUCGGAGGGCGGUGCCUCUUCGAUUUUGGAGCAAGCAAUCUUGUUGGGAGUGUUUUCUCGAAUGUGAGUAAAGGUUGGGCAUGUUUGCUAGUCUACCUUGCCACGAAGCACAAAGGUUGACACACAGGGACUUUCCAAUUAUCCAGCAGUGGUACUGUUCCUUUACCCUCUCUUCGAUUUUUUAGAAAGUAAUCAUGUUGGGAGUCUGGCUCUCGAGAUUCGGAGGGCGGUGCCUCUUCGAUUUUGGAGCAAGCAAUCUUGUUAGGAGUGUUUUCUCGAAUGUGAGUAAAAGGUUGGGCAUGUUUGCUAGUCUACCUUGCCACGAAGCACAGAGGUUGACACACCGGGACUUUCCAAUUAUCCAGCAGUGGUACUGUUCCUUUACCCUUGUGGGUAAUAAUAUGGUAGCUAGACCUUCAAAAUUUAUGUGUCUAAACUUUGUUAGUGUUGUUUCUUUGCAAUUCUUUUACCCUUCUUGGUCAGAGCGAUGUAGUGGGAGCUGCAAGCUUCACGUGUCUCAACUUUGUCAGAGAACUUUGGCAAAGUUAUCUGUGGUACCCAUGAGCUACUGUUGCGUGUGGGAAGUGGGUGAUUGAACAAUACGAUUCAUGUGCUUUCUACUUCGCCAGAAAUCUUCGACAUAAUGCCCAUAAUUUCCGCAAAGCUGAGUGUGCGUGUGACAGGUGCUGACAAGGCUGGAAAAGUAGGUGCCUCUUCGAUUUCUGAAAUCGGCCCUCGUGGUCUCUGAGCAGCCCAGCUUUUGAGAAAGCAAGCCUCUUCGAUUUCUGAGAUCGGCCUUUGUGGUCUUUGAGCAGCCCAGCUUUUGAGAAAGCAAACACCUCUUCGAUUUCUGAGAUCGACCUUCGUGGUCUCUGAGCAGCCCAGCUUUUGAGAAAGCAAACGCCUCUUCGAUUUCUGAGCAGGCGCCUCUUCGAUUUCUGAAGCUUUGUCGAGUGCAGAUUUUUAUAGGGGCUGACAUUAAGUUCCAAAGCACACUUGAUUAUAUCCACCAGUAGAAGCUCCCAUUCUUGGACUUCUAAGAUCUUGAUUUGUCCGACCUCUUCUUCUCUCUUCAACACCUUUGAAAAUGUCUGGCCCCUCCGACCGUCGUUUUGACUUGAACCUUGUUGAAGAGGCAGCCCCGCCUUCUCCAGACAACAUAUGGCGCCCAUCCUUCUUCGUCUCCCCUACUGGUCCUCUUACCGUUGGGGAUUCCGUGAUGAAGAAUGAUAUGACCGCUGCGGUAGUGGCCAGGAACCUUCUCACUCCCAAAGAUAACAGACUACUUUCCAAACGGUCUGAUGAGUUGUCUGUUAAGGAUUCUCUGGCUCUCAGUGUUCAGUGUGCAGGUUCUGUGUCUAAUAUGGCCCAACGCCUAUUUGCUCGAACCCGCCAAGUUGAAUCAUUGGCGGCUGAAGUGAUGAGUCUCAAACAGGAGAUUAGAGGGCUCAAGCAUGAGAAUAAACAGUUGCACCGGCUCGCACAUGACUAUGCUACAAACAUGAAGAGGAAGCUUGACCAGAUGAAGGAAUCUGAUGGUCAGGUUUUACUUGAUCAUCAGAGAUUUGUGGGUUUGUUUCCAAAGGCAUUUAUUGCCUUCGUCUUCUGGGGCUGUACCGCGUAAUGAAGCUCCAAAUGAUCAAUCUCUGAUGCCUCCUCCUUCUAGGGUUUUGUCCAGUACUGAGGCUCCGAAUGAUCCCCCUCUGGUGCCUUCUCUUUCUGGGGCUCUACCGACUGCUGAGACUUCUCCUAAGCAACCUUUGUGAAGGCUCCCUCUUGUUUGUUUAUUUUGACUCAAGUAUAUGUACAUAUUUGUAACUUAUCGGGGAUAUCAAUAAAUAAGCUUUCCUUCAUUUCAACGUAUUGUGUUAAAUACACCAAAGCCUUCUUCGCUAAGUUCUUUGAAUUUUCUUUUGUUGAAGCUUGUAUGUUGAAGCUUUGUGAGUGGAGCAUAUAGGUUGAGGUAGUGUUCCCUUAAUUUCCCGAGUGAGGAAAACUUCUCGGUUGGAGACUUGGAAAAUCCAAGUCACUGAGUGGGAUCGGCUAUAUGAAUCUUAGAACGCCAUUGUGUUCUGUCCUGUGUCAUGUCCUCCGUUAGAUCCAAGUACUCUAAGUCUUUUCUUAGGGUCUCUUCCAAAGUUUUCCUAGGUCUUCCUAUGCCCCUUCGGCCCUGAACCUCUAUCCCAUAGUCGCAUCUUCUAAUCGGAGCGUCAGUAGGCCUUCUUUGCACAUGUCCAAACCACCAUAACCGAUUUUCUCUUAUCUUUCCUUCAAAUAAAAUUCAAAAGAAACAACCUCACCCGUGUAAAGAAGUUAGUGGGCAUUUUUUUUAUGAAUUUAUUACCAAUUAAAAAUAAUAAAUAAAUUUUUACUUGCGAAUUAAAAUAAAUAAAUAAAUAAAAAUACAAAAAGUGGUAAGAAUGAUGAAGUCCACAUGCGCCCUAUCACAUUAUCACUUCUCAAUUUGGAUAUACACGCAACAUUCAUCAUCUCUUUCAACAGUUGCACUAGAGUUACAGGUUUAGGAGAACGAGGAGACAGAGCUCAGAGAUGGACAUCUGGAGUUGCAUACUACUAGGUCUAAUGGUUGCAUGGAUCUCAAUUUACACUCUCUAUUAUUCACUUGGAAGAAGAUCAUCAGUUACCACAAGGCUCCCACCUGGACCAAACCCACUUCCCUUCAUUGGCAAUCUCUUAGAGCUUGGCAACAAACCCCAUAUCUCUCUCACCAAGCUUUCACAACGCUACGGCCCCAUAAUGGCCUUGCAACUCGGCCAAAUAACGACGGUGGUAAUUUCUUCAUCAACCGUCGCCAAAGAAGUCCUCCGAACCCACGACCAACUCUUCUGCAACCGAACCGUCCCAGAUGCGAUCCAGGCCUGUGACCAUGCUAAGUACAGCAUGCCCUGGAUACCGGUUUCAGCGGCAUGGAGAAACCUUCGAAAAAUAUGCAACUCGCAAUUGUUUGCCACCAAAGUUCUCGACGCCAACCAAGGCAACCGUCACCUAAAAGUUCAAGAGCUCAUAUCCGAGGUCAAAGAAAGCGUUUUAAAAGGUGAAGCCGUUGAUGUUAGAAGUGCUGCUUUCAAAACUACGCUCAACUUGAUGUCGCGUACCGUAUUCUCUGUGGAUUUGGCGGACCAGAAUAGUGAGACGGCUAGAGAGUAUAAGGAGUUGGUAUGGGGUAUUGUUGAAGAGAUUGGGAAGCCAAACUUGGCUGACUAUUUUCCUGUACUUAAGAAGAUCGAUCCCAUGGGAAUACGGCGUCGUCUGGCCAAUCACUUCCAGAAGAUGAUCGGCCUCUUUGACCGCAUGAUCACACAAAGGUUGGAGUCAAGAAAAUCACGUGAUUAUAUCACAACUAAAGAUAUGUUGGAUACACUUAUAAACUUCAGUGAAGAGAAAAGCGGGGACAUGGACAUGGCUGAAACUGAGCAUUUGUUUCUGGUUAGUUCCUACUAUAUAUUGUUCUUGAUUUGAUGAAUUAAAAGUAACUAGGUUUUCUUCGAUCAUAAUUUUUGUUGUUGCUGGUUCUUUACUUGUUUGUUAAUUAUGAGUUGUGUCGCUAUAUGUACCUUCUAAAAUGGUCAUCAUGUGCCUCACUUGAGGAGUACAUAAACAAUUGACGCUUCACAAGGGCUCUCUAUUAUUGCUACUAUUCUUGAGGGGGUGAAGGACUAUAUAAACACUUUGUUGGGAGCCUUUCGUAUUUAAAAGGAAGGAUUAUUGAGAGCACUAAAAUUUAGUGAAUGAAUUAUAGAAAACUUCAUUUUAAUCCUUAAAAAAGAUGAGUUUUAGAUUAUAACCCUGUGUAAGAUUAAAAUCCAAUUUUAGUCCCUAGUACAUUUAAUCAUAUCAUUUAUUAGUUAUAUUUUGAUGUUUUAUUUAUCUUUUUAUUUAUUUUUUAUUUUAAUGUAUUAAUUACAUUUAAAUUUAAUUUUUAUUUCAUUCAUCAUAAUAUAUUUUAAUGUCUACAUUUAGGCAACUAAUUUUUUUAUAAUAUAUAUUCCGAUAACAAUUUUAUAUGUUCUUCAUUUAGGUACAUUAAUACAUUUGAAUAUUUCGGUAUAUCCAUCGGUACAAACAUAUAGUUACAGUGAUUCAGUAUAAUGCAUUUCGUUACGUAUACUUUGGUACACACAUUUGAGUAUUGACUUUUAGGUACAUUAAUUCAAUAUAUUAUAUUUUGGUAAAUAAAUUUAGGUACAUACAUUUUGGUAUUGAUAUUUAGGUACAUACAUUUCGGUAUUGACAUUUAGGUAUGUACAUUUUGGUACAUACAUUUCGGUAUUGACAUUUAGGUACAUUAAUUCAAUAUAAUACAUUUCGGUACAUACAUUUAGGUUCAUUAUAAUAUAUUUCGGUACAAUCAUGUAGGUACAAAUAUUUCGGUACAAAAAAGUCAAUUUUAUAUAUUUAGCGCAGUCAUUUAUGUAUACUUAAUUAUGUAUUUAUAUAUUUUUGUAUCACAAAUUUCUUUUAAUAUUUUCUCAUUUAUGUUCAUUUCUAAUUAAAAAACUAAAUAUGUGCAUAUUAAUAAAAUUAAAAUUUAAUAUGGAAAGAUUAAAUAAAAAUACACAUUAAAUAACAAAAAUUGAAUGUAAAUUUUGAUAAAAGUACACUCAAGGGAUUAAAUUGAAUAUUUAAUCUAGCAUCAGGUUUUUUUUAAAUUUUAAUCUUUUGCAAGGACUAAUGUUCAAAAACCCCAAUGAAUUAUAUCUUUUAAUAUUAUAAUAGUUAUAUGACAAGUGGAUUUUUUAUAGGAUAACCCUGUCCUCGAGCCCGGAACUUUAAUUUUUUCACAUUGUGCCCUCGUUGACUUCCGCUUUAGCCAGAUUUGUAAUGAUCCAUGUCAAAGAUAAUUUAAUAAAAAGGGGGAGGGUGGAGGGUGGGUGUUUAAGGGCCCCAAUAAAUCAUAUGGUCACUUGAGUUAGUAUAAGUAGUUUUUUUCAUUCAUUAUAUUAGCUUCAUUUAAUUUUUUUGUUGGAGUAUAAUAAUGAUUAAAAUUGCUUUCUUGUCCCGUUUGUUUCAAGAUUAGAUCUUUAUGAAUACACCUAUUGUAACCUUGUAGGAAUGAAGUCUUGACAAAAUGUAGUCCCUUUGCUGUGUAGCGUCUUAUCAAAUUUUUUUAAAAUUCCUUUCUUUUAGUCAGUAGGAAUAAGAACACAUUUUUAUGCAAUGAUAUAUUUACACUAUGGGAAAUGAGGAAUAAAUUCGUUAUUUUUUAGAUUUAAACUUAAGACCUUUCACUUACAAGUGAAGAAGAAUGUCACUACUAAUUAGUAGCGAAUAAGAAUAAUAGUUUGUAAUAAGUUUUUCUUCUAUUCUCGUCACUUCGAUAUAUUAAAAUUUCAGACUAAUUAGCCAUUUGGUCAAUUAGGAUCUGUUUAGUGCAGCCACAGAUACAACUUCAGGCACAUUGGAGUGGGCAAUGGCUGAGCUACUCCGCAACCCAGAAAAACUAUCACAAGCACAAGCAGAGCUGAAGCAAAUCAUCGGCAAAGGAAAGCCAGUUAAGGAGUCACACAUUGCUGGACUCCCUUACUUACAAGCCAUAAUCAAAGAAACCUUCAGAUUGCACCCAGCCACUCCAUUUCUACUUCCUCGAAAAGCCGAAAUAGAUGUUGAAAUCUGCGGGUACAUUGUACCAAAGGGUGCACAAGUAUUGGUCAAUGCAUGGGCCAUAGGGAGAGACCCCAACAUUUGGGACGAUCCAAACUCGUUUAUGCCGGAGAGGUUUUUGGAUUCGGAAAUUGAUGUUUUAGGGGGAAACUUUGAUCUUAUUCCGUUUGGUGGUGGGAGGAGAAUAUGUCCUGGAUUGCCAUUGGCAAUGAGAAUGUUGAAUUUGAUGUUGGGCUCGCUUAUUAAUUCGUUUGAUGAUUGGAAGCUUGAAAAUGGAGUUGUAUCAGAGACCUUGAACAUGGAAGAGAAGUUUGGCAUCACCUUAAAGAAAGCUCAGCCUCUCAUAGCUGUGCCCAUGCUAUAUAAAAACCUAGCAUGAUUUUUACUUUACUCAAUAUUGUAUGUAUGGGAGUGCGCCUAUAGAACCAUACGUUGUUGAUAUUGGAAUAAGUUAAUAUUUAGUAGAAAAGAGAAUGUAAAUAUUUUGUAAUUACUAGAGUCUUGUUUUAGGAAAGGUAUUAUGUUCUUUAUUUGUUGCCUUUCUUGUAACUAGGGUUGUACAUAUCCUUUUAUUGAGAAUUAUGGAAUACACAGAAAUUAUCCCGUAAAAUUCUAUUUGGUAUCAAGAGCCAAAGCUGCCGUAACCCUAGUUUUUCCGUUGUGCUCAAUCAACUGUUUUUUUUGCAAUUCUUUUCGCAGAGAUCAGUCACUGUGCGUGUGUGUUGUUGCUGUGUGUGCAACCGUGUGUGAAUGGUAUUGCUGUGCUUGUGGUUUUUAACAGUGUACAAUUGUUGUGCAAUUGUUAGCAUACAAUUGCUUUGCAUCAAUUGUCAAAGUACCUUUUCCUUUAUCCCGUGGGUAGUAAACAAUUUGGCUUGCUGUCCAGUUUGUUGCAGUGAGUAUAACUAUAAUUCUUGUGCCGAGCUGCACUUGAAUUGUUGUCCAGUAUCGUGCCUUUGUUCCUGUGCGUGUUAGUACUAUUAUUUCAGAUUCUGUCUGCAAGUUCUGCAAUUUUUUCUCUUUUGAAAAAAAAAAAAAAAAAGGAUUUGUGGGUUCUUGCUACUGCUUGCAAUGUGUGGAUUGUUCUCUUGUACCGUGGGCUACAGUUUGUGCUAGUGAUUUCUGUCCGUGGAUCAGCGUGUCUACAGCUGCAAGUGUGUAGUUUGUUACGUAUAAGUAUUGUGCGUACUUGUUGUUUUGUGCAGUGUGUAGAGACUGAUGUGCAGUUGUUAUUACAAUGACCAAUACCGGUUGGAUUUUAGAUUCCGGUGCAACGGAUCAUAUGACGUAUGAUAGAACUUUGUUUCAGUCCAUGAAAGAUUCUCAUAGAAAGUGUGUGGCAACUGCCAAUGGUACUACUGCUGCCGUUGUUGGAGCGGGAACAAUGUCUCUUACACCCUCUCUUCCGUUACAUAAUUGUUUAUUGGUUCCGUCAUUGUCCCAUCACUUAUUGUCUGUACCUCAAGUCACUGAACAAUUGGAUUGUGUUGUAGUAAUGUAUCCUUCAUUUUGUUUGUUUCAGGAUAUUCAAACAAAGGAGAUCAUUGGGCGUGGCACUAAGAGAGAUGGACUAUAUUAUGUGGAUGACGUGGUUCCUGGAAGAGCUCAUUUGGUUCAUUCGUCACGUAAUAGGAAUCUACAGAAGGUAUUGUUAUUGCAUCGUCGUUUGGGGCAUGCAUCGUUUGGUUAUUUGAAACAUAUAGUACCUGAUUUGUUCAGUGGUAUUGAAGACUCAGAAUUGAAAUGUGAAGUAUGUAUUUUAGCCAAAAGUCAUCGUGCUUCAUUCCUUCCAAGUAUGAAUAGAAGAUCUUCUCCAUUUGCACUAGUACACUCUGAUGUGUGGGGGCCUUCCCCUGUUAGUACUACUUCGGGAAUUAGAUGGUUUGUUACUUUCGUGGAUGAUUGCACUCGUAUGACGUGGUUGUAUAUGUUGAAAAAUAAAAGUGAGGUUUGUGAUGUGUUUCGUCUGUUUCAACAGAUGGUUAAAACUCAGUAUUCCAUUGAUAUUAAAGUUUUGCGUUCUGACAACGGUGGAGAGUACAUAGCUUCUGAGUUAUCCCGGUUUCUACAAGAUCGUGGAAUUAUUCAUCAAACUACAUGUCCGCAUACUCCACAAAAUGGGGUUGCUGAGAGAAAGAAUCAUCAUAUCUUGGAAACUGCUCGUGCCCUGCUUAUUGGUGCGUCUGUGCCUAAACGUUUUUGGCCUGAAGCCGUUACCUAUGCUGUGUAUGUGAUUAACCGUAUGCCAUCUCGGGUUGUAGUAUCCACUAAUACCCUUACUCCUCGUGUGUUUGCAUGUGUAGUAUAUGUUCAUAUUCACAAGAUUCAUCGUAGCAAAUUGGAUCCAUGUGCCCUUCGGUGCGUUUUUGUUGGGUUUGCCUCUCAACAGAAAGGGUAUAAGUGUUAUCAUCCUGAAACUCGACAUAUGUAUGUGACUAUGGAUGUUACUUUUUCUGAAUCAGAGUAUUUCUAUUCUUCGAUCCCAUCACCUUCAUAUCACCAUGGGGAGAACACUAGUGGUGAUCAAGUUGAUCUUGGGUGGUUAGAGGUACCCGAGGAUGUGAUAUGUAGUUCAGGGGGAGCAUGUGUUGACGACAAUGAUGAAAAUGGGACACCAAAUUUUCGACAAGAAAUUGCCGAGAAUGAUAUGGGCCUUCAGCUGAUGCCUGCCGAGACAAGUGCAGGCUUUAGGCAAGGUCCUACUGAGGAAGCUAUAAUAAUCCAGCAGCCUAUUGUCGAACCAAGUACUUCAAGGGAAGAAGUGCCAUCUGCAGAACCUACAUCACCCUCUCUCUCUCGCUCGAUAGUGCCACCCAAUGUGUCUACUCUGAAUAUCCCUGAGGUAAGUACUACAGAUGCUCAUGUAACUAAUCCAAAUAAUGAUGUAAGUAUGUAUAAGUUGCCGCCAAGGCAAAAUCGUGGUGUUCCUCCUGAUAGGUUUUCUCCUGAAGGAAAAGUAAAGUAUCCAAUAUCAAAUUAUGUGUCGUGCAAAAACCUUGCACCUGAACGUCAAGCCUGGGUAAAUAAUGUGGAAGCAAUCCAAGCACCAACCCGAGUUGAGGAGGCCUUGAAGGAUCCUAAAUGGGCUGCUGCAAUGGAUGAAGAAAUGAUGGCACUACACAAGAAUGAUACAUGGGAGGUGACGGAGCUACCUAAAGGCAAGAAACCAGUUGGGUGUAGAUGGGUCUUUACAAUUAAAUAUAAGGCAGACGGAUCGGUAGACAGAUAUAAAGCAAGGUUAGUAGCGAAAGGGUAUACUCAAACUUAUGGUAUUGACUAUCAGGAAACUUUUUCUCCGGUAGCGAAGAUGAAUACGGUACGUGUUCUGAUUUCUUUAGCUGCAAACUUGAAUUGGCCACUGAAACAGUUUGAUGUAAAGAAUGCUUUUCUUCAUGGGCACCUAGAAGAAGAGGUGUAUAUGGAUUUUCCUCCGGGGUACAAUGCUGGAGGAAAAACCGGAGUAUGUAGAUUGCGAAAGUCACUCUAUGGACUUAAGCAAUCACCUCGUGCAUGGUUUGGGAGAUUUACUCAGGUUAUGAGGAGGUUUGGAUAUUAUCAAAGUCAUUCGGAUCAUACAUUAUUUGUGAAACGGGGAAGUGGUAAAGUGACUGCCUUAAUAAUUUAUGUAGAUGACAUGAUAAUAACCGGUGAUGAUUCAGAAGAGAUGAUGAAGCUUGAACAAAACCUUGCUGCCGAGUUUGAGAUGAAGAAUUUGGGAGAUUUAAAAUACUUUCUUGGAGUGGAAGUCGCUCGGUCAUCUAGAGGUAUUUUCUUGUCUCAACGUAAAUAUGUUCUGGAUUUAUUAAAGGAAACAGGCAUGCUGGGGUGUAAACCUGUGGACACUCCUAUCGUAGAGAAACAUUAUUUGGGGAUUUAUCCAGAUCAGGAACCGGUUGACAAAGGGAGAUAUCAAAGACUGGUGGGGAGGCUGAUUUAUUUGUCUCAUACUCGUCCGGAUAUUGCUUACGCGGUAAGUGUGGUUAGUCAGUUUAUGCACUCACCAAGUGUAGAUCAUAUGGAGGCAGUGAUGAGAAUCUUGGCAUACUUAAAGUCUGCUCCGGGUAAAGGAGUUUUGUAUGAGAGUCAUAGGCAUAUGAGGAUCGAGGGAUUUACGGAUGCUGAUUGGGCCGGUGAUGUGACUGAUAGAAGGUCUACAUCGGGAUAUUUUACAUUCGUUGGAGGCAAUUUGGUUACGUGGAGGAGCAAGAAGCAAAAUGUGGUGUCACGGUCUUCUGCCGAAGCUUAAUAUAGGGGAAUGGCACAUGGUGUAUGCGAGAUGCUUUGGCUGCGAAAGUUACUUGAGAGCCUUGGUUUUACACAGAAGGAGGCAAUGAAGUUGUAUUGUGAUAAUAAGUCCGCUAGAGAGAUAGCCGAGAAUCCAGUACAGCAUGACAGGACUAAGCAUGUUGAAGUUGAUAGACAUUUUAUCAAAGAAAAGCUGGAGAAGAAGAUUGUGUCAAUACCAUUUGUGAACUCAGAGGAACAACUUGCAGAUGUACUUACCCAUGCCGUGUGCAAUAGAAGGUUUGGUGAGUCGCUUGUCAAGUUGGGCAUGAGUAAUAUCUAUGCUCCAACUUGAGGGGGAGUAUUGGAAUAAGUUAAUAUUUAGUAGAAAAGAGAAUGUAAAUAUUUUGUAAUUACUAGAGUCUUGUUUUAGGAAAGGUAUUAUGUCCUUUAUUUGUUGCCUUUCUUGUAACUAGAGUUGUACAUAUCCUUUUAUUGAGAAUUAUGGAAUACACAGAAAUUAUCCCGUAAAAUUCUAUUGUUGAUAUGUAACCCCUGUUUGUCGCGUUUGACAAAAUUGAUAUCGUUUGAGAGUGAAAAAACGAUAAGUACUAAUGAGAAUGAUGCAAGAGAAAGUUUUGCUCCGCAAAUUUUGAGAGCACACUCGGUGGAUUUUGUAAAUUCCACAAACCACAAACAAUAUAACAUUUUAUUUACAGCCAUUGCAUUUCUUGAUGAUGCCAAAACUAAAGUACAGAACCAACUGAUGCUCAGUUAUCUAUCAUAACACAAAGAAUCCUACUCACUUCCAAGAUUUAUGGAAUUGGACAGCCAAAUAACACUGUCAUUUUUGUAUCUACAUAUAUUUACCAAGUUCUAAACAUUAAAAAUUACCUUAAUGUCUCAUAUUAACAAAACUAGCAAAAUAUAUAACCUUAUCUCAAGAAUAGCAUUCUUUUUGCAUAAUUUUUUUGUUAUUCGUGAAAAUAGUGGUUAAAACCGUACUAUUUUUGUCAAAAAAUGAACGAAACCGAACGUGGCGCGUAUUUUCCCUUAUUUUUUCUAGGCGAUGUCAUAAGCCAUGCUGAUUCGAACAAUUCAAGGAGGUCAUCUUUAGAGUUCGUUUCGCUAUCAUCAUCAGCAACACUACUCUCCACUUCUUCCUUGUUAUUAACGUUAUUCUCUUCUUUUUUUCCAAUCCCUCCUUUAUUUGUUCCCUUCUGCAGAAGCACUUCCUUGUAAGUAACACCUCUACGAGGAGAAGAAGAGGUAUUACCCUUAUUAAUGUGAUCACCACUUGCAGCAGCAUUAUUCUUAUUACCAUUUGGGGUAGACCAGUCAGCUUCAUGAACCGAACCCGGUCCAUGGUUGCGAUCAAUAUUGCUGCUUGUAUCAAAUGUGGAAUUUGUGUUUGUGCCGGAGUCUAGUAACUGUUGGCAGCGUCGUAGAAUGAAAUUGAAAACAUAAAUUUACUCAAACCAUUCGAAGUAGAAAGAACAAUGAAGCUUCUUCCCUCCUCUAAUGUUGGAUUUGUGAAUUACUGAAUAUGGAUUUGUGAGUUCUUGGGAGUUUAUUCAUCUUCUCAGUCAGUUUGCAGCAGCUUAUUCUUGAGUCCUGAUAGGGAUUAUACCACACACGCACAAGGGUUAAAAACUCCUAUAUUUCUUGCAAGAAUGACAAGAUUAUUGUAGUAUAAACGGUUCUCGCAAGGUCGUUCUCCACAAGGAUUAUUAAAUAAUUCGAAGCAAAUCAAAUUCCAAUUAAUUAUUCUAAAGGAGAAAGUUGAGAUGAUUGAUUUUAUAACCUACUUAAAUUAAAAAUGAAUUUAAUAAAUAAAAGUAAACUAAUCUGCAAUAUUAAAACUGAAAGAAGAAGAAACAGUUUGGGAGAAAUCAAAUUAAGAAAACAUUAGGGUUCCAACAUCACCUAGCAAUCCUAUGAACUUUUAUCAAUUACUUAUGAUCUACACAUGCCACUUUGAAGGUUAGGUUUUUCUAAUUCAUAUUUUACUUGGAACCUCCAACAUAGAACGUUUAUCUAACAUACAACCCGUCCGGACGUUCGGAUCAAAUCUGAACAUGAGAGACUCAUUAUGCUUUAUGAAAACCCUUUGAAAAACCAUGCAACCCUUAAGACGAAGUGUUCAUCUUAAGUGAAAUUACAAUUAUUAACCACAUGAAGUCAGCGUCAAUUCCAGAGAACCUUCCAACCAAAAUUGUAUCAAAUUACUUUUCUAAAGAUUCUAAUGGUGAUCAGUCAUUAAGACAAUUAGAUAGUUUUAAUCACGGUGAUUAAUAAUUCAAAGUAUGCAUGCAUUCAAUCAUAAGCAAUUAAAUAAAAAAAGAAUUAGUUUCGCAUAUUCAUAAUUAAAAUCAUAGAAAAUAUUAUUAAGAAUAAAAGGAAUGAAAAUACCUUAAAGUAGAAAAUCUCCAAGAACCCUAGCAAUUACUCUCUAUCUCCAAAGUUGCAUCAAAGAAAGCGUACGUAAAAGUGAGAACGGCAAAAGCAAUAUAACUGCUAUGCCCCCGCACAACUCCUAAAACAUAGGUCUCUUAUUCCAAUUAGGAAACUAAGAACAAUAAUAAAAUAUCUUAGAAAAUAAAAUCCUAAUUAAACUAGGAUAAUCUGCUAAGUACUUGUCCAGCCACAUUUUAGCCUCAGAUAUCGUCCAAAUCCAGCCCAUAAUAGCUUGUUUUGAAGAUCAGGACGUUCUGAACAUAUCUCCAAAAGGCCACAAACUCAUCCGAGGUCAUUAUGGGCUCCAAAAACGCAAUUCAAGCCCAAAACGUCAUUAUUCCAGAACCGCGCAUCACUCCUUUAUUUUAUUACUAGAAAAUAACCGCUUGGUAGACAAAUCCCAAAUUUUGAUACAAAUACGCCAAGAGAGACACAAGCGUCCUCCAAUAUUGAAAAUACAAAUCAAAGUAUCAAAAUUCUACAAAAAUAAUUACCAAAACAUACUAAGAAUAGGGUAAAAUAUAUAAUAUGAAAUUGACUUAUCAAGUCCUCCACGAUCAGGUUUCCUUUUUGCACGUUCAAUUUCUUUUCUUUUUUCUUUCUAUUUUAUCUCAGUUUGUGGCAGUUUAGUUCGAGUCAUCCACGAUCAGGUUUCUUGUGAGUUUUAGUUUUGCUUAAGUUUGGUUUACUUAACCAUCCUUUAGUUUUGCUUAAGUUUGGUUUACCUAACCAUUCUCCUUUGCUUACAUUACUUGCUUAUCCCUUCAGGAACUUCCCACACAGGAGUGUCUUCUGUCCUUUUGAUCUGGUAGUCGAAAGAAUACCAUGAUUCAUUACUGAUGUUGUUCGUUUGUGUUUUAAUUUCUAAUGUUAUUCUAUUGCACAUGCACCUUUGAAGCAUGAACACCAAGAGAUGUGGUUUGAUUAUGUUAAUUCGUCUUUUUGAAACCAGAAACAAAUGUGUUGCAGGAAGAAUUCUUUGGCACAAGGAAUUAGAAAAUAUAAAAUGUGGGGAGAAAAUUGUUGCGGCAAAAGGAAGAAAUCAGGAUCCAAAUUCGAUCAGAGUCGAAUGUUUGAGUGAGUUGGUUCAAUCAGCAUGUACAGGUUUGGGAGUUUGUAUUACUAACAAUUUUGAAAAUUUAUCUUCUAUAGGUUUUCAGAAUGUUGGAAGGUAAAAGUGGAAUCAUUUUAUUCUCAUUGGUAGUUUCUUGACUUGCUUAAUAAUUUAUAUGGUACAUUAUUUUCAUUGGAGUAUGCAUGAUUCCUCUGUCUCUUCACUUAUUUUACAUAUAAAAAUUCUUUUGAUAAUUUAUAAUGUUCCCUUACUCUGCGUGAGGGAUUGUGUAGUUUUACAGAAUCAACUAUUCAUUUUGGUGGCAGCCAAAAGUUCCAACCGUCUUAAAUACUUCGGACAAAUGUUCGCAGAAAAUUACUGAUUUUGAUAUUCUGUUAAGUUACAUUUUGCAUUGUCUAGAAUAUAAAAGCCAUGCAGGAAUGGAGUUUAUAGGCUGCUAAAGAGGCCCCUAUCAACUCUGCUGCCGUGAAGUACACAAAUUUCUUAUUGGCAACAACCUCUGGAAAAGUUGGAGAGUUGAUAGGCCCCAAUCAAAAUUAGUUUUAUCACUCCCUUAAUAUGGAAAAUUAUGGACGUAUAAAUCAAUGCAUGUAGAACAUGUAUGAAGUGUUUCUAAAGCAAAUAUGUUUUUAUGCAUGCACAAAUGUGGAAGGAAUAAAAACUCUGUAUGCCACGUGUAGCACGUCGUAAUGUAAAAAAUGUAUUUUGCACGCGCAAAGCACAUGCAGAAAGGCUAGUUAGUUAUAAUCCACAUAAUCAUCUAAUAUUUACAAAUCUCCACAUCACUCUUAAUCUAGACCAUUGAAUAUUAUAAGAUCUAAAGGCUAUAAAGGAAUGUAAAAGUAUUUGUCCAUUGGUUCUAACCCAUCAUAUAUAUAUAUAUAUAUAUAUAUAUAUAUAUAUAUAUAUAUAUAUAUAUAUAUAUAUUAUCUAUUAUAUUAUUAUUAUUAAGAGAACUCUCCUUGUCAAUCUUUCUCAAAUAUGACAAUCAUAUUCCUAUUUUACCCUAAACAUUUUCUCAAAAUGACAAUCAUAUCCUAUUUUUUGUAUUUUACCCUCACACACAAUAUCUAAGGAGGACAAAACAGUAAUAUGAGCCUUUUGAGAAAAUGACAAUCAUAUCCCUAUAUUUUACCCUCGUUUUUUAUACAUAAUAUUUUCAUAAAGAUGACAAAACAGUAAUUAUGCAAUACUAAGAAAAAUAUGCCCUUAUUAAUAGAAACGAUCUCAUCAUCAUUGUCCCAUGCUUUAAAAAAAAAAUUAGAAACUAAUCACACUCCUUAAUCAAAAAAAAUAAAAAGAAAUUGUUCACACACAAAAUGUGUGCUCAUCUGCUAUUCUGAUAAAAUGUCAUCAUUCACUCAAAACAUGCAUAAAUAUAAUGGAGAAGUACAUAAUGAUUUUUUUCUAAGUGCUAAUAACAAGUUUUGUAGUAGUACACAUUAUAAUAUCAUUCAUUUUGCGCAGGCUUCAGCGAUGAAAAUAAGCAAUGUAGUAUAUGAUAAUGUGAAAGGCACAUAUGCCUCAAAAAUGGGAGUGAAAUUUGACUGUAGCAAGCGCUUCAGAUGUUGAGAGAUUUUGUUAAAAGACGUAAACCUAAAGCCUCUGGUCGACGGAAUUGCCCAAGCUUCGUGUGAGAAUGUCAGACUAAGUCAUAGAGGAACGGUUUCUCCAAAAUGCUUUCCUUAAUACAAUUGGUUCAUGAACUUUCACCAUAUUUAGUUCAGAUAUCGUCAUUAAAUUAAUCUUGGUCUUUGAAACGGCAAAAGAUGAAUGAAUCAUAAAGAGGGCAAAGAUGGCCUUCAUUUCUGUAGAGGUACCCACAAAGUUGUACGCGCUAAAGGUUCGUUAGACCUCACACGUUGGGAAGCAACUGUGAAAUUUGUGAUGACUAAAUCAACUACUGAAAAGAUAAUAGUUGAGAAAUAGAAACCACACCCAACGCAUAUUGGUGCAAAAUCUGCUUGGUACCCAGUUUUCAAAUGUUUUAUAACCCGAAAUUCUUAUCACAAUGCACUGUUGUUCACGACCUGAGAAACCCGACCCAAUGUCAACAUGUUGCAAGAGUUAUACGAAAAAUGGGUUCAAGCUGAUAGAAUUAACGUCCUACAUGAUUACAAGGUUGUUGUGUUGGGCAAAAUUGCAGUUAAUUCAAUUCUUGCGAUUAAAUACAACAUAUUGAAAACGAUAUCGUAAUUGUCUAAGUUAGUUCAUACCAACUUUGAGAAUGAUAUCGGAACUGUCUGAGUUAGUUCAUACCAACUUUGAAGAUGUGGAAGAGGUCAUUAGAAUGGACAGGAGGGUUGGACUUCACAUUGAUUCAAAUCUCGGAAUUGGAGGGCAGGGUAUAUUCUCCACCAUUACGGCUUGAAGUAAGACUCGGAAGAAGUUCACAAAAUCAUUAAAUUGAAUGGUGAAAGUACAAGUUUAUUGCUACGAUGAUUAGGAGGAUGGGGACAAUAAGAAAUAAGAAGAUUGUUGUAUUCGGAGUUUCCUACGAAUACAAAUGAUGUGCGAAACUCAACGGCAAUACAGAUUUGCAAAUGUCUGUUGAAAGAAGGAUGUGAUAAAUUAACGAUUUAUGAUGCUAAAGCAAGAAGAGAAGACAUAGUACGGAGAGCCUAGCCAUGGAGAGCCAUGGAGAGAGCAGUCUUUAAUAAGAGGGUAGAGAUUGAUGUAGAGGCUCACAGAGCAUGGGGAGGAGCUCAUGCAAUUGUGUUUUUGGUCGAUUUAGAUGAGUUUGAAGAAUUAUCCUGCGAAGAUAUUCAUGAAACAAUGGAGAAGCCACCAUUUAUUUUUGUGGGAUACAAUCUAAUUCGACACCAUUAGAUAAAAUAUGGGUUUAAAUAAAAUUUAUUGGAAAUUACCUCUAGGUCUGAUUGAAUCCCAGAGUCCUAACGGUGUUCAGAUUUAGAUUGCAUCCCACAAAAAUAAAUGGUGGUUUGCCCAUUGUUUCAUGAAUAUCUCCCCAGGGUAAUUCUUCAAACUCAUAUGAAUCGACGAAAAACACAAUUGCAUGAGCUCCUUCCCAUGCUCUGUGAGCCUCUACAACAAUCUCUACCCUCUUAUUAAAGACUGCUCUCCAUAGCAGGGAUCGUACUAUGUCUUCUCUUCUUGCUUUAGCAUCAUAAAUCGUUAAUUUAUCGCAUCCUUCUUUCGACAGACAUUUGCAAAUCUGGAUUGCCGUUGAGUUUCACACAUUGUUUGCAUUCUUUUUGUAGGAAACUCCAAUACAGCAAUCUUCUUAUUUCUUAUUGUCUCCAUACUCCUAAUCAUCGUAGCAAUAAACUUGUACUUUCACCAUUCAAUUUAAUGAUUUUGUGAACUACUUCCGAGUCUUCCUUCAAGCCGUGAUGGUGGAGAAUAUAUUUGUAGUAGUACAAGUCGUUGGUAAGACACUGCUCUCCAAUUCCGAGAUUCGAAUCAAUGUGAAGUCCAACUCUCCUGUCCAUUCUAAUGACCUCUUCCACAUCUUCAAAGUUGGUAUGAACUAAUUCAGACAGUUCCGAUAUCGUCCUCAAUAUGUUGUAUUUCAUUGCAAGAAUUGAAUUAACUGCAAUUUUGACCAACACAACAGCCUUGUAAUCACGUAGGACAUUAAUUCUAUCAGCUUGAACCCAUUUUUCAUAUAACUCUUGCAACACGUUGACAUUACCCCCUAAACUAUUCCAAUAGCAAUAUGGCUUGGGUUUCUCACGUCGUGAACAGCAGUGCCUUGUGAUAAGAAAUCCGGGUUAUAAAACACUGAAAACUGGGUACCAAGCGGAUUUUGCGCCAAUAUGCAUUGGGUGUGGUUUUCUAUUACAUCAAUUGGCAGGGUGGAUUUCUCAACUAUUAUCUAUUUAGAGUUGAUUCAAUCAUCACAAAUUUCAUAGCUGCUUCCCAACGUGUGAGGUCUAAUGAACUUUUAGCACCUACACCCUAAGGCUUUGUGGGUACCUCAACAACAAUGAAGACCAUCUUUGCCCUCUUUAUGAUUCCUUCAUCUUUUGUCGUUUCAUCACAUACAAAACAGACAUUAUGAGAGUGUUUGGCAUCAUUCAACAAGUCUCUCAGAUGAGGCUCCUCAAAAGGCAAUGCAGCAUCAGGCACACCAUUCCAGACAUUAUUCCAAGCUCAAUCUUUAAUUUGUCAGUAUCAACAAUUGUAAAACCUAUACCGUGGUGAUUUGAAGCCAUGACAAGCAUGUUCACAACGCCAGAAAGGCUGGCCCCUAAACAACAAACAUUCUGAACCUGCAUAAAUAAUAGUUUGGGGAUGAGAAAAUCUUGAGACAUCUAGGUUUUCACGUUAGUAUUCAAAGUUUACAGUUGAGCAAAAACUGUACUGUUUACAAAUUUCACUUCACAUGACAAAUAUGUUUUCAAAUCAUAUAUAUGCUAUAUAUCAAUUAGUACGCCGUCUCACGUUAUUAAUCAGUAUGCUAUAUAUUAAUUAGUUGUUCAAUUGAUGCCAUAGCAGUAAACUGUAUAAGUACUUGAGGAAAAAACAUACAACUGAUGCUUUUGGAACAUAAAAAACUUUUUCUUUAAAAACGAUUUUAAUCAAUUUAAAAGCACAUCCAAAUGAGCCCAUAUUUGGGUGGACAAUAAAAUUUGAUCUUGUAACUUCACCGUAAGCAUAGCCAACAAACCCUCAAUUUUAAAUCAGACAUCAUUACAAUAAGCCAAAUAGGAAAAUCGUUUCAAGAACAACCUUCAAGCAGAAAUCAAUCCCAAGAAAUCCAACCGUAAGCAUAGCCAACAAACCCUCAAUUUUAACAGAGGAAUCAGACAUAAUUACAAUAAGCCAAAUAGGAAAUCCUUUCAAGAACAACCUUCAAGCAGAAAUCAAUCCCAAGAAAUCCAACAAAGAAUGAAAUAAUAGGCACUUGGAUUUGGCCUUAAUGAAAUGCGAAUGUCACAAGAAAUUCAAUUGAAAACACCAAAAACAAGAAGAAGGAAUGUUGAAUUCAACCAAAAAAACAGAAGAAAAUUUCAUUGAUGCAUUUGAUCAAACACCUGGUAGUGCUGAAUCGAACGAACCUGAGAGUUUCUUCAAUCUUGAACCAGAACCUGUCAAAGAGAUGGAGCUCGCCAGACUCAGAAUUCCGGCAAUCUUUACAAGAAUUGACAGCCGAAAGGCCACCGAAGAUCUUUAGAGCAGUUCCACCGGAGGUGGAAUAGCCCAGCACCCAGUCAAAAAACCAGGCUAGGACCCUGUCAAUCCACUCCAGCCCGUGGAAUAGACUAGCACCCAGCCCAAGCCAGUCCACAGGCCGGCCUAAAAUCGACAGAGGAAGGAGACGGCUCAUCUGACUCCAUGCUAACGUCAUGGUCACAUCUCUCUCAUCUGGAACCCAUUCAACGCCUAGAACCCCAUCCCGAUCCUUGGAACCCAUCCCGAUGGAGCGAGCGGGCUUGGAGGCGAGGGGGGAGGUUGAGGUUGUUGAGCUUGAUCUUGCAGAAGCAUGGGGAGAAGGAAGGGUGAACGACGGAGCGAGCGGGCUUGGAGGCGACGGGGAUCUUGAGAGCGAGAUUGCCCACUGUGACCCGCACAAAUGGGCAUGGAUCCAUUUUUCACCAGCAAAAUAAAAUCAAAGGGGGAAAUGCUAAUGCGCCUAUGCCUCUCUCCCUCUCUCCCUCUCUCAGUUGAGUGUUGGGGCAAAUGGUGUUGUUGCUGCCAUUGAUUUCUGGCAAGUGGGAAGAAGAAGAAGGAGAAGAAGACGACAUUAAAAAAUCAAAUUAUUAUUUUAUAGUAAAAAUUAAUAAUAUUUUAAUAAAAUUGACUAGGUUAUUUUUUAUUAGGAGUAGAGAUGUUUUGGUCUAUUACAGUUUACUGUGGUAUAUUACUGUUUAUUUGAGUGGAUAAAUGCCUUGGGUGCUGGCUCAAAAUCUUUAGGGUGGAAUUGCUCUUAACAGUGAAGAAAAGCACAGAUGAUAUCUCAAAGAAGAGAAGGUUAAGAGAUGUACUGUACGUACAUAGCUCGGAGCCCAUUUUAGUUGUCCAUAGCCUGUUUCAGCCGGCCCACCAAGCGGGCUCUUAAGGUAACGGUACCAGAAGCCCAAAGACUAAAGUAUUUUGAACUAUUUCAACGUUUGGGAAAAAAAUUAUUAGAUUAUUAUUGGCACUUCAAAAAUUUAAUUGUGUACUCCACGCUUUUAUAUUUAUAUAUAAAAAUACUAUUAAGAGGAAUACACAAUUAAAUUUUUAGACUGUCAACAAUAAUUUCAAAAAUUAUUAUUGCUUUCGUGAUUGUUACUUGUUUCCCGUAAGUAAAUAAACCAUUUUUCUUAGUGCACAAUGAUUUGGUUAACUUAAUUGUAAAGUACAAAUUAAAAGGUUGUUUUGGCGGAUCCUAUCCGGAUCCUCUUUGUGAGGAUCUCAGGAUCAAUGAAUCAUAAUUGUACGUACAUUCUGCAACCAGUUUUUCUUUAAGACUGUUUGUAUUUAAUUUUAAAUAAAAAACUUCAAAAAUUUUCUGGCCGGUUUCAAGCCAUGCUAUAGUAGUAAACCGGACGUUACGUCGGGGGCAUGGUUCGUCAAGCCAAAUAUUUUUCAUAUGGUGAUUUACUUAUAGCAUCUAGAGGCGCAGGCCUUUUUUAUUUUAUUUUGGACAUUAGUCGAUUGCAGGGAAGGGAAGUAUUUGUCGAAGGAUCGAAACGGCGGAUUGGCGAGAAGCGUGAAAAUUUGGAGAGAUAACUGACUCCCGCCCCUCAACGCCACAAUGCCCUAAACCUGCAAUUGUGAUACCAGGACCUGCUCCAACUUUGUCUACGGCAUCAUUUAUGAUAACGGCAAUCAUCAAUUUUCUUCUAUGAAAUUAAGACGAAUUUGAUAGUUUCAAUCACAUUGUACACGACUCAAGCAUCUUAUCGGCUUAUCUGGCCUUGCAAUAAUUUACUGUUAGAAGUGGGUAUCAUUGCGAUCAUGGAAUUAGUUCCACCACCACAAGGUUGGCAUCUUCUCUGAAACCUCCCACUUGAUUGAGAAUAAGGUAUGGAAGACUAUUCGGAAGAUGAAAGUUGUCCCAAAAAUUAUCAACUACCCUUGGCGGGCUCUCUCCAUGGUGUUACCUUUUUGAAUAGCAUAUUCCAAAGGAAAGUCAUUUCAUGUGAAAUCUGUCCUUUUUGCGACAAGUUUGAAGAGACAGUAGAGCACCUUACCCUCAUAUGCCGAUGGACCUCCCGACUAUGGUUUGGAUCUCCCCACAAACAAUCACCAAUCUUGAUGUGUGGCUGUUGGGAGUUGCAAAAUCUGUUUGUACAUAAGAUAUAGGGAUCAUUUACUUAUCAUGGGGAGGGUUUUAUUUGUGGGAGAUAUGGAAGAAAGAUUCAAUGUUUUUUCAAGAAGAAAAACCUUGAUGUAACAGCUACACUAAGGCGAACCUCUCGCUCUACUGCGGAGAUGAUUGAGCAUCGGUGCAGAGUGACGAGAGAGCUCAUGCCACCACUACAUGAAAUGUCAUUUUGGACCCCUCCCACACCACCUUUUGUCAAAACAAAUGUAGAUGGUGCAUGAAAACCAUUGUGUAAGGCUGCUUUGGGUGUUGUCAUACGAGAUUGUAGAGGGAUCCUACUGGGAGGCGAACACUGCCAUCUUCCCAGACCAUCUAUCGAGGAAACUGAGGCAGAGGCUACGCUUGCAUGAUUGGAAUCAGCUAAAGACAUGGGUCUGCAGAACGUCAUAAUUGAAAGUGAUCAUUCAAAAGUUUUUAUGGAUGUUGUCCUGAAGAAAUCAGUUAGAAGCAUGUGGAGAAUUUAACUCCACCACAAAAGAGAUUUGAAGGUUACUUCAAUUUUUACUCAAGUUUAAUGGAAAUGGAUUCAAAGCAGCAUGAAGUUGUUAGUCUGGGUAUCAAGAGGGUGUGUCUUCAACAGCUGGCCCUCGCACCUCCUCCCUCUCUGGUUUUGGUUGUCAAGAGACGGGGUGUCAUGUCCACCGAGGAAUAUAAAUCAAGGUUAGGCAGAGCUUAACUCUUCCUACUUUUUUUUUGGUGCCUUUGUGGCUAGGUUAAUGAUGCUUCGGUGUUGCAGGCUUUGUGAGGGAACCUGUUGUAUAACGCUGUAUUGCUCUAUUGUUCAUUUAUUCUGCCUUAUCUGUGGUUUAAUGAGAAUCUCAUUUGACAAUAAAAAUCCAAAUAUACCCAUGUUAACAAAACGGAACCACGUCUAGCCAACCUAUGAGCCACCGGCGGAGCCAAUUAAGGCCCACAAGGGUCACUUGACCCUUCUCACCAUCUUAAAAAUGUCUUCUUAUAUGUUAUAUCCAAAGUUUUCAUAUUUGUACUUAUAGUUGACCCUUCUCGCAGAAUAAUAUUUGCCCCAAUAAACAUAAUCUAAUGUCAUCGUGCUUCAUGUGGUCAAAGACUCAAGACAUUUGGGCUUAAAGGUGCGUGACACUUCAUUCCUUGUCUCUAGUCUUUUGAUUUAUUCACAUGUGUAUUGAAUUUAUUUGAUCUUUUUAGUAAAUUUAAAUCAACAUGUGAUACUCUUAUUGUUUGUCUAUCUUUUCGAUCUUUUUUUUUUUUUAUGUUAAAACUUUGGUUAUACUUGUCUUAAAAAAAAUAUUGGUUAUACUUACCAUUAGUAUUAUUAUCAUGUGAUUUUGGAAUGAUGACACAAUUAGGUCGUAAAUUUCAAAUUUGUAAUAUGGGUAAUAAUUAUUAUGAAACCUUGACCAAGUUUAAAGACACUUCCAAACGAAUUUAAAAAAAAAUUGUGAAAGUGAAGAUACAUACAAAUAAGAAAUUAAAUGAACAGAAAAGUGCUAACCCCAAAGUCCCGUUGUUCUUGAAACCUUGACUCGCACGGCACAAUGAUGUUCGUUGGCUUUCUCUGAAACCCUGGACAGACAAUGCCUCUCCCACAGUCCCACUCGCACGGCACCAGUUGUUAAUUUAGAUUUAAAACACUUCAUUCCAUCAAAUAUAAUUUCACCUUCCCCGAAAUACCCCUCAUAAUUAUUAGUAAGAUAUCAUAUAAAAAGGUCGUACCCAAUGCACAAGGCUCCCGCUUUACGCAGGGUCUGGGAGAGGUGAAUGUCCGCUAGCCUUACCCCCAUUUUAUGGAGAGGUUGCUCCCAAGUCUCGAAACCGAGACCUACCGCUCAUGGGCGAAGACACUUGUCAUCGCACCAAAUGCGACCUCUUUAGUAAGAUAUCAUAUAUAGUAUAAUUUUAGUCAUUUAACUUAUUUUUAGACAAUAUUUUGGGUAAUUUUCCCUUGAUCAUCUUCAAGUUUCGCAAAAAUCACACUUUACUAACUGCAAAGGCCACUGGGAAUCUACGAAUUCCCACGACCAUUGCUAGUCACCAGACAUAGGCCCCGUUUGGGAUUGAGGUGAUUUUAAAAAAAGCCACUGUGAAAAAAAGCUGAGGGUCAUUUUUGUGUUUGGUAAACUGAAAAAAAAUGGCUUAUUUUGGAAGCUGCUGUGAGAAUAAGCUGAAAAUCAAAGGAAAAGCUGAAGCUGCUAUUUGCUGCUUUGAAAAAAAGCCAGUUUUUUCAAAGCACACGGAGCUACAGUGCUCCUUUAAUGAAAAGACACACUAUCAUCCUGAUUUUUUUUCCAAAAGCACUUUCACAAAAAAGUUUACCAAACACUCUACUGGCUUUAUUUCACAGCCACUUAUUCUCACAGCACAGCCGCUUAUUCUCACAGCAGCUUUUUUUCAAAGCACAGCAAUACCAAACCAGCCCAUACUCUUGUCAUUGGUUCGGUGCUGGUUUGCACAGCGUCGCGAAUCAUCCAAUUCUUUGAGAGUUUAUAUCAAUGCAUCAAGAUGAAAUGUGGUAGAGGAUGAAGUUGAAUAUUAAACACAAUUUCCCUCACUAAACAUAUCCUUAACAAGAUCUCUAAAUUUGAAAACCAAAAUGCUUGGAUGUGUUAAUGGAUCUUUCAUUGAAAUCCAAUCCAAUCCGAUGGACUUUUGGUCAGUUCCAUACACUUGUUUUUCCUUUCGAGUUCCAUUUCAUACCAUCUAGCAUGCUUUCGAACUAUGAGAAUUGCAAAUAAUUAUGACUGAUGCGAAGGAGUAAUUUCCCAUCCGAAAAAAGAGAACCUCAGAAGCAUUUCCGAUGAACAACAGAUGGUCCAGUUUCAUCGUAGUCUGCUUUUGUUACAUGUUGAUUUUGUGGGAACACAACUUUGGCAAGUAUGGCACCGCCCACCCACGCUGAAUACAUUGAUAAAUUCUCUGGCAUAUACUCUGGAGGCUGCAUUGAACCCGGACCAAAAAACGAUCAGAAGAAGUUGGCAGUCCAGUUAGUACAGAAGAAAUAGUGUUGUGGAAAUGUUAUGUAAAUCAUAAAGUAUCUUGCUCACAUAACGUUCAGUCCGGGUAAUAGAAAGUGAUUCAGUGAUUGCUUACAAGACCAUGCAAUAACAAACCAUAUCCAAAAUUUCAGUACACUGUACACCAGAUCAAUGCAAUUCCUUUUUACUAAUCUACGUUGUAAUAGCACUUUUCCAGUAGAGCUACACUGGUAACAAAUCAACCAAUAAUCUUUCUAUUAAUUAAUGUCAUACAUAAUCAAAUUAGAUGACUUUUUGGUAUCCAGGAAAAGUUUUCAUGUCGAGAAUCACUUCCAAAUCAAUGAACAUGUUAAUCAUUUUAAAUCAGAGUUCAAGGCUGAAGCAUAAAUUCCAUCAAAUAUAACGGUAAAGGUCGUACCCAGUGCACAAGGCUCCCGCUUUACAUAGGGUCUGGGAGAGGUGAAUGUCGGCUAGCCUUACCCCCAUUUAUGAAGAGGCUGCUUCCAAGUCUCGAACCCGAGACCUACCGCUCAUGGGCGAAAGCACUUGCCAUCGCACCAAGUGCGACCUCUUCCAUCAAAUAUAACGGUAGCAUUAAGAAAAUAUAAUCACAGGUACAUGAGCACAAAAAUUUAUGAAUUUCGUAAGCAAAAAGAAUGGAAACGCCAAACACCCAACUGUCUAAGAGAGAAUUAUGAAAAAUUGAUGAAACAAUACAUAAAGACAUCAUAAUCACUCGUUAACGUGUACCAAAUAAGAUAGGGAAAUGCCAUAACAGAAACUAACACAACCUCUGGACUCUGAACUAUAUACAGCCUCAGAAACAAUUAGGAGACCAACUAUAAUUACGUUUGGAGUAUGUGGACCUCAAAUAUUACCUUGGAAGGCUUAUUUCAUAAAGCUUACUAAGAAUUUGUACUUCCGAUACAGGGUUCUGAUUCCAGUAAACAAAUAGGUAUGAUGCAAUGACUCGUGAAGAUGACAUCGUGUGAAAGAAAGUUGACUAUUUCACCUAAUCACUGUCAGAGUUUUUGCCUGGGAAGAUUUGAAAUUCAAACCUAACCCACCCUGAACUCUGAAGCUAAAACCUGAAUGCAGUUUUAAUGGUAAAAUAAAUUACCUUAAUUAAAGCAGGACGAACAGCCGAUGAGCAUAGACCAGCUUCUUUCUGAAACCUUUCUUCAAAACCUGCAAUAAACAGCAAUGAAACUGCCAAUACAAUUACAGAACCAAAAGUUCCUAUUCUUUUGAAACAAGGACAAGUUCAAAUUUCGCCAUGCUCUUAUAUCUGUUGCCUUGUACUGUAAUAUACUUCCAAAGAAGAGUCAUAUAAAAGGAAUUUUGAACCCAAGGAUUCCCAUAACUUGGUGAAUCCAUUUAUUAAAAUGAUAUGGAUGACAAGGAUAAUGAAACCAACCAAAGAAAGGGCUCGCAGACAUUUAUACAAAAGAAGUCAUCUAACAAGAGUAUUCAAGGAAAGAAAAAAGGAAAACAAAGAAGAAAAUAUAUCGUACUAAUUAGUAAUUAUAGUAUCUGAAAGGCACAGGCAUCGGCAACAAUAAACUCACCAGUCAUAGAAGCAGUGCCACCACACAGUACAGUAUUUUCUAGCAACUGCCGGUGAUUAUCAGACGAUACUGUUGAAAUACAACGAACAAGCUGCUCGACAAUUCCAUGAGCCUCUAAACCCAAUAUGGAUGGUUGGAAUAGAGCCUCACCAACAGUAUAUCUUUCUCUUCCAAUCGUAAUAACCUAAACCAAUGACCAGUAUUACAUUAAAGUAACUAUACAUGUAAAGCAUCACAACGGUUUGGGAAAAUGCUGAGUGAUGAAAGAAAACAGGGUGGGAAAGAAGGUUUAAGGAACAGAAAAAGGCUAAGCUUGGAAUAAAUGAUAACUGUGACCUAAAUGCCUUGAGAUGGGAUUGCUGUCAUCUUGCAUUCACAUUUCGAAGAAUAAAAAAGAAAAUGUAAAGUAGGGAUAAAAAAAAUCCACGUUAAAGAACAUAUAUCUAAAGAAUAGAAGUGUUUGAAUGUAAACUAGAUCUUACCUUUAGUAUUCAACAUGUAAGAUUAGAGAAGAUUUCAGUGAGGAUAACUUUCAAUAAACUCGUUAUACAAGUAUAAUUAACACAUAAUAGAUUGAAAUCAAACAAAACCAGAUAACUGCGAUAGGUGCAAGCCAGUUACAGCAUGAAUAAUAGCAAAUUACAGGCAUAAUAUGAUAUACUGAAGUCAACAUAUCCUCCUAACUGAAACAUGCCAAGCAAGUUAUGUGCUAUCUGUGUCUUCUCCAUCUAUCCAUAUCAUAAUUUCAAAAAAUUAACCAUACCUGUCCAUCAGGAAGGGUAUGCUGCUCUAUCUGGCAUGAAUUUUUGGUCUUUUCAUAAGCAAGUUCAUCUUCAGCACAACACGAAUAUUGCUCUUUUAUUUUCUCAAUAUCAGACAUCUUGAUAUUCACUAGAGGAUUGGAUUUCCCAAGCUCUUCAGCAAGUAAUUUCGUCAAAUCAGUACCGCCAAUUUCAAACCUCCUUGAGGCAAUGUGCUGAACAGCACCUUCAAUGACUGGUGCAAUAUCUGUUAAAAUUGGCCAAAAAUGCAGAAAAGGCACAAUAAAAAAAAUCAGUUUGCUUACAUUAUCAUAUACCAUAUUGACUCACUAGCUUACACAGAGAGUCCAAUGCCAUUAACAGGUCAGGUGUGUUAACUAAAACUUGCAAGCUUUAGUUCAGCUACCAAUGCAUCUUUCAUGACCAUUAUCAUCAUAUGGUCACCUAAUGCACACUAUGUAGAUGGUUAUAGCUUGGCAUAGCUAUCAACUAUCAAUAAAAUAUUUCGGUCUUAAUAUUAUUAUUACAAGAUCUGUACAUGGUUCAAAUCACUGGUUGUAUGCUAGAUAGGAUAAACUGAAUUCUGUAUAUAGAUUUAUUAUUUUUAUAUUGCAUAUGACUUGGCAUGCAGUAUAGAAACGAAAGAAUAGCUUAAAGAACUCUAUGUAUUCAAUAAACAAGAUUCCAUUAACAAAUAAAGGUUCCGUUCUGCAAGGUAUAUAAACCUAUUUUUCCAUGGCCAAUAUCAACAGUGCAUCCCGAGAUGCGUCCUACAGCAUAAAGUGACAAUACUGCUUGCUCUGAUGCAUAGAAGCCCGAAAUGUUAAAUGUUUCAAACAUCAGUUGCACCAACUGCUCUCUGACAGCCUGGGAGAAAGAAAAAAAUUAAUUUUUUUAAAGAAAUAUAUAUUAGCUGCACCAAAACAAAAAGGAGUUAUGUAGAACCUGCAAGUUAUAAUUCUAAGAUUUGUCUCUCUAGAGAGAUAACAAGGUUUCCUUACUCCUUACAAUAUUUUUCUCUCUAGUGAAAUAAUGUCAGAAACUGAUUCACAACACACAAACUUGAGGCUACAUAAAUUUAUUUUUAAAUAUAAUUAAACAAGAAUACGCAAGAACAUUUAUAAAAUCAUGAUCUGAAAGUUUUAACUUAGACAGUGUGCUCAAUGGAAGCAGCCUACACUUAUAACAGAUAAUCCAUUGACUUGUUAGAAAUUUAUUUUUAAAUAUAAUUAAACAAGAAUACGCAAGAACAUUUAUAAUAUCAUGAUCUGAAAGUUUUAACUUAGAUAGUGUGCUCAAUGGAAGCAGCCUAGACUUAUAACAGAUAAUCCAUCGACUUGCUAAGUAAACUAUAUACAAAUAAUAAAAACCGCGAAAAUAACCACUGUGAUUAUUUUCAGCCAAAAAUUGCAUAACGACCUAUUAGCUAACCUUGGGAGUACAAAGUGGAUCAGUAAAUAGUAUCUGCCCUUCAUUUCCCAUUUCCCAUCCAAGGCCAGUAUAUAGAACAUGAUGCAACAGGUCUUCCAUGGCAUCCCAGUCAGUAAUAAGACCUCGCACAACUGGAUCAACAAAGAUAUCUUCAAGUGAUGAAUUAUCAUUCAUUGACCCAUCAUCAGGCACGCGUUUCAUUUGGUUAGGAAUUAUCUGAAGCAUAUGACAGAACAUAAAUGUUAAAGAAAAAUAAAAAAAGAAAGAAAUGAGUAUUAAAUUACAGCGAUAUCAUCAGCUACUUCUGGAUUAGUCAAAUCGAAUUUUCAUUAUGUACAAUGCAACCAUCAAAUUAAGUAUAAGAGAGUCACUUCUUCCUUUCCAAAUAUGCAAUUUUAGAUAGAAAUGAUUUUCAUGGUAAAGUCCAAGAAAAUUGUUGGUCUUUGUUUCCAAAGAAAGAAAAUUUGCUUUUCUGAUUCUUAUAUUCAAAUUAAAACAAAACUUUACCAUGAAAACAUUCACCUUUAUUGUUUUGAAAACAAAAUUUUCUCUCUUUUUGCUGAAUAAAGACCAAUCGUGACCUGAAAUUCACUAUUUGAUUGAUUUUCUUUUCUUCAGACUUCCCAACACCCAAGGAUUAAUUGAAAAGUUGAGAGCAUAUCAAGCACAAAUUACCUUGAAAUUGAAUAGAGACAAAAUCAGCUGGAAACUGAAUACUACUACUCUUUUACAUACAAUAAGUAAGAAGUAUUUGCAAAGGUCAAUAUCAAUGUCUCCAUAUGGGCCAUAUACAACUUCCACAAAAACAAAAUUAUACUAGAAUACAACGAAAAUGAUGUGCAAAUUCAUUAUUUAUGACAGAAAGAGUCAACUGUUUUUUCAGCUCUGGUUCUGGAAUACAUUUUUAAUAUUGUUGAGCUGGAAAAAGGAGUGCAAACUGCAAAGGCAUCAUUUUUGUGCAACUUCAUAAGAGUUAAAAGUAGGAUAGGAGGAGAGAUAUACAUUUGAUAACACGAGAUUGUUGGGAAGGAGGGAAAUGAAAGUAAUAGUAAGAAUCAAUUGGAUGUGUGACAAUGUACAAAUUACAAUUAUCAUGCCAACGUUGUUCUGGAAUAUAUAGUUUGGAAAGUUGAGAUAUAUUAAGAUUCCCAUCAGACCAAUAACAGCAAGAGUUAUUUUACCAACAGCGUGCAUAUGCAUGACGAUAGCCUUCAGAACGCAAACUUGAGUGACACAAUCAUCUACUCAACACACCCUAACACAACCAUAAAAGUUUCAUUUCCUACCAGAGCAAAAACAAAAUUAAUGAGAGAACUCCUAACAACUUAUGAGUAACAAGAGGAUAUCCAUGCCACAGGGGUGCAGAAAAAAAAAAUAAAUAAAUAAAAGAAAAAAGAACCCUCAUAAUUUAAUUCACUGUUCUGCUGAAAUAUUAAUUGGACCUACAGAAAACUACAAUUUUCCUUCUCUUUCUCACAACUUUCCCAGAAACCAAACAGGUUCUACCCCCCAAGCCAUUGCUACUAAAUUUUCCAACUAAAGUUUCCGACUUUAAGAUAUCAAAACAAAUCCUAGCUGGCCCCACGAAAGUCUAAACCAACAAACAAUCCCAAGCUUUCACAUUUGGAAUUUUCCAUUUUUCCCAAAAAAGCAAAAAAAAAUUCCCAAGCAACCAAACAGAAAAUUACAGCAAGGAUAAAAAAAAGGUCUUAAAGCUCGCCUCUUUGCUUUCAUAAAUAGGAAGCGAGACCAAGAAAUUGAAGCAUAUGUUGUGAUAAUUACCAUGGAAGGAGCUUGAUCGGGAAUGGCGGGUCCUGCCUUCAGGAGCUUGGAGCCGGCAUCGACCACAACAGCCUCCAUUCUGGUAUCUUAAAACCCUAACCCUAGAUUUUGAACAGACAAAGGGGAUUUAGCUGAGCAUUUGAAAUGUAUAUAAGCUCUCACUAUUGAAGUUUAAAGAGACUAGUACUCCCUUUACCCGUUUUCUCUGUCUGCAAGCAGGCAACCGCGAUGCCUGUAUUUUUCAAAUUUCACAAGAUUGUGGAAGGAACGGUAGGAACCCUCUCUUCUUUUUUUCCUUUUUUUUUAUUUUUCCUUUUCUAUUAUUUAUUUUUGUGGGAUCUGAUGGACAAGAAGAUUGAUAUGUGGGACCGGCACAUUUGGAUCUUGACACGUGUAAGUAAAAAAUUCAUUACGAAUUAGCAAAAUAUGAUGGUAGCCAAUAUCAAUAUGGAUUGGAGAUGGGCCCGAUUCAGUCAUAUGACUUGAAAUCAAUACGGAUAAAAUGCGUGCACCUAUUUUGGUACUAAAAUUUUGGUAACUAUUCAAAACAUGACUAAUCAAUCGUAUUCAUCUAAAAAUUAAAAUUUUAAUAAUAUUAAUUAAACAAUUAAACGAUUUAUAAUUUGAUUGAAUUAUGUGCAGAGUUAAUAUGUAAAAAAUAACCUAAAAGUUAGAUAGGUUUUUUUUAUCAAACAAACACUGCAAAACGAAGAGGAGCCCUUUGUUUAGUUUUAAAGUAAGAUAAAUUUCCUUUGCAAAGAUGUUAAUGAAUGCAUAAUGUUUUUCUAAUUACUAACAGUAUGUUUGGAUGAAGAAAUUUAAGAUUAUUAGGAAUUUUAAAAUGACGGAAAUUGAAAUGACAAGAUUUUAUUUUCUAGAAUUUGUAAAUUUUCUUGUUUGGUUAAUAUAAAAGAACAAUGGAAUUGAAUACUGAAUUUGUUAUUUUUAAACUCUAAAUCAUAGAAAUUGGGAAAUGACACCUAUUUACAUGGAAUUUGAACUUGGGAAUUAGAGGUCCCAAAUUCCAAGUUUUUUUUUCCACGCGGAAAUUCUAAAUUUCUAUGUUUAUGAAUCCAAACAAGAGAAUUAGAGCAUGUCAAUUUAUAAAUUCUGAAUUUUUUCAAAAUUCCAAGUUUAUUUCCCUCAUCCAAACAUAGUGUAAGAGAAGGAAACAAACCAAACCGACCAUACAGAUGCAUUUGGUACGGUUAUUCAGUCUGCGGUUUGAAUCCUAACCCGAACCAACCGCACCUUGCCCAGCCCUACAAAUGUAUCUAUCAAUUUUGGUUUAUGAGUAAUGAAAGAGAGGAGAGGAGAAACAGACAAUCAGUAGAUUCAGUAGCUCAAAUUUAUGUACAUAUCAACAAAGUUGUGGACAGACUUAUGCACUAUCAAAUGAGACUUGCUGCAAAUGUCUCAUGGCUAUUGCAUGUAUGGUCACCCCACAGGCUUGAAGGUCCUCCGAGACUAUAUAAGUUCAUGUCCACAGAAAAAUUGCCAUCGGGGGGGGGCACCAACUGGCUCCCCAUCCUCAACCAAAAUCAAAUCGCAGCCCUCGGCGCCAAUAGGGAGCACGUCAUCACUUUCCUUGAAAGCAGGAGCUUCGGUCACUGAUUCUGGAAACUCAGCUAAAAGGGCUUCCAGAGAAAAAUCGCAACUGUCCUGAGAAGUGAAUUUAGAACCGGAAUUUCAAAGUCCACCACAGAAGCAGCAUGUGAAAAUUCGAGGAUAUUCUUCAAAGUAUCUUUGUGGGAAUUCUCUUUCUGUCACUUCCUUUGGAAGAGUUAAAUCAGAAUCUCGAUCAGCAUCUUCCUCCGUGUCAUCAUAUCCAUCAUCAGUCUGACGUUGAGGCAACUGGUUUUGAACAUCGGUGUUAUCAGGGUCUGGCGUGUUGCUUAUCUCAAUGCUGACAUCUCCAUUUUCGAUAUCUUCAGUUAUCUGACAAAAAUCAGUUCUAGACAUGCCACCAUUGGCUGGAUCAACUGCAUUCUCAAUGCUCUUGUAAUCAUCAAGUGUUUCUUCUUCUCCACCCUCAGAAUGCUGGUCCGGCCCAUCGACUCUGAGUGAUUGAUCAGUGUGCUCAUCAUUAGGUGAUCUUAUCACAUUCCCCUCACCAUCUGAAGAACUUUUCGUCAAAUCAGCAAGUGAACCCUUUAUGUAUUCUGUCACAUCAGUUUCACCAAGGCACAUGGAAGAAUAUGUGCCUACUUCAUGUUCCUCUCUUGUCAAUUCUUUCCUCUCAACGUUACCAUCUUCUUCAUUUAAAACAUCAGGAGCUUUAACCGAAAGAGUUUGAGCAUCAUCAAUUGUCAAAGCAGGCCUUGGUUUUUCUGAUGAACCUAUCACUACUUCUGAUCCAUGAUCUUCGCUGUCCUCGUCAUCCUCGUCAUCAUCACCAUUAAAAAAUUCAGGAGCAGUUACUACCAGACUUGGAAGCGAAUGGGUGGAAUUUACUGAAGCAGACAUUUCAUAAGCUGUGAUCAGGGGUGCAUCUGGUUGAAUGUCCUUACCUGAUUCAAAUGCCUCACAACUGUAGUAAUCAUUUCCACUAUUAUAGCAAGAGUUAGACUCAGACUCAUUGCAUGAGAAAGAAGAAGCGUAGAAUCUUGUGCAUGUUGGCAAUCCAGAAUUCUGUGAUUUGUUCGCCAGUACUUCAAGUUGCUGCUCUACCCUUUCAAGCCUUGCCUCAAUCCUGUUUAUCGGUUUUAGCAUCUUUUCUUCAAACCUCAAAAACAGAUCCUCUAUUCUGCCCAUUCGAGAAUAAAGCUGGUCCACAUCGCUUUCAACUCCUGACGGGAUACAUACCUGGGCAGUACUAGUACUAGCCUUAUUAAAAUCUGGAAUCUUUACUUCUUGGUGAUCAGGUAUGCUGGCUUUUCCUCGUUCCUGAAUCUUAGUUGCAACACUGGUAGAAUCAGUUUCUUUUGACCCAGUCGCUAGAGAGUUCUGUUUUCCCCAUGUAUCAGAAAUUGGCUUGUCCUGUGUUCGGUUAGCACCCCUUGUUUUAGAGAAUUGCAAAAGGGUAGGCACAAGCAUGGCCAUUAGAGAACUCCCAGCUGAGUUUUCCACCGCACUAACUUGGUUCUCUGAAUCAGAUGAGUCCACAGGAUCAGCAAACACAUAAACCUCACCAACACAUACACAAUCUUUCCCCUCAAGCGACAGUAGAUGAAGUGUGAGGGAUACACAAGGACUUGCAUCACUAAUCUGUGCUGUAGCUUCAUAAAAAUCCUGAUACACAAGGACUUGAUCAGCAAGCACCAUAUAAAGAAAUUAACUAGACGGGACAAAAAAAAGAAGCGAAAGAAAAACAAAAGUGGGAGGGGGUUCACUGGAAUUAAUAUACAUGGAGAACUAAGCAACAUACCUGUGCAGAUCCCAACUUCAAUUGCGACAAAUUGAUUUUGUUAUCAAGCACUUUAGUAUCUAAGACUUUCACUUCAACACAGUCAUCUUCACUGUUGUUCGGACUAUUUCCAUUUCUUGACUUAGCUUCGGAUGGGUCCUUAAGCGACUCAUUUGAAUUUGCAGGACAAACUUGAUCAUUAUCACCUGUGUGAAGCAUUUGUUCAUCUCGGGCAGCAAUGCCACAGAGAACAGUGCAGAGAUAUUCAUUGCCACUCUGUAUAUCAGGUGCAUAGUAUAUCUCAUAUUCUCGGGCAGUACUUCGAACAUAAACCUGCUGGAUAUCAUGUUUUUGUGUGAAAUUAACUGCAGUGGAAAACGUUGUUGGUCAAAUGCACUUUAGAUACCCAACUAUUAACACAAGUUACACAACCCUUGGUAACACUUUGAGCUCCAACAGCUAUUACUUCUACUUUUAGCAACCAAGUGUCGCUUUCGUAGAUGAACUCAUAGUACACUGCAAAAUCCUGUUUUUAUCCUCGUUUUCGAGUACAAGAUUGCCCCCUACGAUGCAUGGACACAGCAGUAUCUCCUCAUAUCCCGUGUCCGGUCGUAUAGUGUCAUAUCCCUGGGUCCGUGUGUCCAUGCAUCGUAGAUUGCCCCUCUAUUUAGCUUUGUUUUCAUCUAAAAUUUGGCAAUAAUCCUAAUCCUAAUCAACCGGUCCCAGAAAUUAUUAACUUUUAAGUCAUAACGUACAAUAAUAAUAUAUAAAGGACCAUGAUUUAUAUAAAAAAAAAAAAAGAGAGGGUGUCAAACUCAAAUUCAAUAAAAUUUGGCGCCGAAAUGUAAAGUUUUCAGAGAAGAGAAGUUGUAGAGCAUACUGGUGAUCUCGCAAGGGCCCGAAUCGGGUGACGGAGGGUGCAGAAUAAGAGUGGAUGUAGGUGUGGAAUUCGGAGUGUCGUCGUCGAUCAGAGAGGAGGAGGAUUCGAAGGAGACGCAAUUCGUGAGGGAACCACCUGCAACGGUCCAUGUUGUGGCGGAGGUCCACGAAGAGGUGGUGUCCAGGUUGUCGAUCCCGUCGUCGUGUUUUUCCAUGGUGUUUUGGUUUGUCUUCUGUCGUGUGAUAAGCAAGAGACAGAGUUGCUUAAUGGAGAAGUAGGAGAAACAAGUGUGAGGUAAAGUCGUUCUUUUAAGGAAUUUUCUGGCUUAAGUCCUAACUGAAUCGCAUUCUUAAUCAUUAAGAAUUUUAGAUGUACAGAGAAUACGUACAAGAUGAUGAAACAUAAAAUAUUGAGUAAAUUGUAGUAAUACUCUUUCAAUUUUAAUUAAAUCAGAACAAUAUUUUUUCAAUUAAAAAUUCAUUACCAUUAACCUCAACUCAUCAAAAUGUGUAGUUAUGGUCAUUUUCGUCAACUCCGUCAAAAUUCUAUCAAAAUGAGUUAUGUUGGAAUGACUAUUGCUACAAUUAGGGUAAAGUUGAGGGAUCAUUGCUCCAAUUGAGUUAAAGUUGAGAGACCAUUUAUCCGGUUGGAUUAAAGUUAAGGGAUCAUUAAUACAAUUUUUCUUAUUUGAUUUUUCAUAUUUGCCCCUUAAUUAAGUCUCACGUGCAUGACAUGUGACCCAUUUAGAUGGAAGUUCUAAAAGAGUUGACGAAAAUUACCAUAACUGCACGUUUUAAUUAAUUGAUAGAUCUUUGCUACAAUUUACUCUAAAAAUAUUUUAAACAAAACUAAAAAAAAUAAAAAGUUACAAGUAAAAAAUAAGAUGUAAAUAAACAAACUGUCACACGCUUGAGUUUGUAUCAGUUUUUCUUUCAAUUUUUAUUUUGGAAUUAUUGUGAAGUCAUUAGUUAAUCAUUUAUGUUUUAAACUCAUCUAAUUCGUCCUUUAUAUUGACUUACUCAUUAGUUGCUCUUACCAUCUAAUGUUGUUACCGUAGUAAUUUUGUUAGUUGGAUGAUUUAUUAUGCAUAUGGGCCCACAAAGCCAAUAAUAUUGUCCCACACCGGAGAGGUUCUUGUGUACGUACAAAAUUAGAUUUGGGUGGGUGUGAGAGAGAAGGUGGGAUCAGGGGAUGUAGUGGGCCUCAAAAUCAGGGGGAGGAUGUCGUGUUUCAAGUGUCUUUGGUAGGAGGAACUACGUGGUCCAGCUUCCAAACCAUAUAAUUUCUACUCAAAUUGGUUUAUAAAGAGAUAAUGAUUAAUGAGAAAUAAGAUUAAAAUGUUUAUGUUACACUUGCCGACGGUCACAUUUACUACAAUUAUUUUGCCGACAAUUAUCACGUGACACUUCAACCACAUUGUUGCCGUCACCACUUCAUAUGACCACUUUAUCAUGACCAUAUUAACCAUUUCAAAUGAUAAAAAAUUUAAAAAUAGCAAUGUAUGUUGAGGAAUUAGUCAUUAAAAUAUUCAUGACAAUUAAUAGGAUUCUAUUUAAAUCCAUGAUAAAAGUUUCACAAACUCCAUUAAAAUCCUUGUAGAAUUCAAUCAAAAUCCACAUGGAUUCUAUGGAAAUCAAGUAAACUCCCUUAAAAUCAAUGUAUUUAUAACUCUAUGGAAAUAUAUUAAACUCUGUAUAAAAUACACCCCUUACUUUAUCUCUCGUAAUAUGUCAAAACUAGGAUAUUGUUAUUCACACACUCAUUUUACUUUCACACGCUCUUGUUAACUUUGAUCAUUGAUCUUCUUCAAUUCAUCUGAUCCGACGAUCAAAAUUUGAGAAGUUUGUGAAAUGUAAAAGUGGGUCUGUAGAUAAAAUUACCCUAAGGGUAUCCAUGAACUCAUUCAUUAACUUUCCGAUAGAAAUUUCAGACUAAUCACAAGCUAACUGCGGCAUGAAAUUUUUUCUAUAAAAGCAAUCUUUGCAGGGUGUCCCUCGGAUACAGAGCUCAAAAAUUUUUACAUUCUCAUUAAUUAGUUGAACCAUGCAAGCACGGUGUGCCUCUCAUAAGGUCUAUCAAAAUGCAAGCGUACUUGUCUUGUCCUUGCUCAAAUUUCAUCGUCAAAUCUAUACCACCUGAACACAUCUUCAUCAGCAGCUACCCCAUCCUCACACAUAUCACAUAUCAAUGUUGGACACAGAAGAAACUUACUGGAGCCCUGAAGCUUCUGCAGUGAUUGACUCGCCAAGUUGUUCGCAUAUAUAAGAGUAGCCGGGAUGCUCAGAGUCCUCUAUAAAGGUACAGUGAGCGACAUUUAGCACUUCCAAAUCCUCCAUCCUACUCAGAAAUUAGUUCAUUAAUUAUUUGAACCAUGCAAGCAUGGUGUGUCCCUCAUAUUGUCUAUCAAUAUGAAAGCGAACUUAUCUUGUCCUUGCGCCAAAUUUCUUCGUCAAAUCCAACCACCUGAACACACUUCAUCAGUGGUUAGUUCAUCCUCAGACUUAUCACACAUCAGUGUUGGACACAGAAGAAACUUCUGCAACCACGAGGCUUGUGCCGUGAUUGACUCGCCAAGUUGUUUGCAUAUAUAAGAGUAGUCGGGAUGCUCAGAGUCCUCUCUAAAGAUAGAGUGAACCGUUGUACCCUUUAGACUUAACACCUUAAGCUUUUGGGUGUAGGCAACAACAGCCCUUGCGCAUACUUCAUGAAACUCAAAAGGGCACAUAACUUUUGUAUAGUAGCUACCAACCAGCUCCAUGAUUUGAUCAAAACAUACAAUCGGGUUCCAGGUUGGUAGAACAAGCUUUUUGAGGCCAAGGGUUCCUUUGGCUGCAUCACGAUGGAGCUCUCUCGUGCGUCGUUCUCUCAUGACACUCAUUCCUACAAUAUAAGAAGUGCUUCUAAGGUUUAGGUGCGCAAAUGAGUGUGAAGAAUGUAUGAUGUACUUGAUGUAUUAUGGUGAAGGCUUGUGAGGCAUUUUAUAGAAAACUUGAGUGAUAAAAUUGGUGUUCGUAAAGAAGUUGGUUUAGUCACAGACAAAAUGUUCACCUGAAAUGACAUAGAAAGUGUUCAUCAGUUUCAUGUGAAAUGACAAAGGAAAUUACACAUGCAUAUAUCAGUUACAGAAGUUUCACGUGAAAUGACAGACAAAAUUUUCACCGGUUUCACAUAAAAUGACAUAGAAAAUUACACAUGCAUAUAUCAGUUACAAAAGUUUCACGUGAAAUGACAGACAAAGUGUUCAUCGGUUUCACGUGAAAUGACAGACAAAGUGUUCACUGGUUUCACGUGAAAUGACAGACAAAGUGUUCAUCGGUUUCACGUGAAAUGACAGACAAAGUGUUCACUGGUUUCACGUGAAAUGACAGGAAAUUAUACAUGCAUAUAUCAGUUACAGAAGUUUCACGUGAAAUGACAUAGGAUUACACAUUCAUAUAUCAGUUACUAAAGCUUCAUGUGAAAGUUACACAUGCAUAUAUCAGUUACAGAAGUUUCACGUGAAAUAACAGACAGUUUUCACCAAUUUCAAAUGAAAUGACACACAAAGUUUUAUCCGGUUUCACGUGAGAUGGUACAUGAAAUUACACGCGCAUAUAUCAACUACAAAAGUUUCGGGUGAAAAUUAUUAAUAUGGUAAUUAAUCUACAUGAAUAUGACAACGCAUUCAUUUUUAAAAUAGUGAAUAUGGCCAGUUUUCCCAAGGUGAAGGAAAAAAAAAACAAUGGGCGUAAAUAGCGAACAAAAAUUAUAAUGACCUCUAAUUUAUUUUUUAUUAUUCUUUUUUUUUAGAACUCAAAAUGCACAGAUUGUCAAAUUCGGUCCUAUCAAAAUAUAAUGGUCUCAAGUUUUAAUUUUCAGUUAUAUGAAUAUAAAACGCAUAAGUUUGGCUCAGUUAUUCUUAUUUACUUAUGAACUCAAAAUUCACACAUUUCAUCAUUUCGAAACAUAUUGGCUUCAUAUUUUAAUGUUUUCAUUGCUCUUUUUCCUUGUGAGCUCAAAGCCUCAAACCAUAAAUAUUCGUCCUUACCAGAAAAUAAUGGCCUUGAUUUUUAAUUUUUUAUACUCUUUUUCUUCAUAAACUCAAAAUUCAAAUAUUUGGUCUUAACGAAACAAUUAUGGCCUCGAAUUUUUUUUUAUAUAAUUUUUUUCCUUAUAAACUCAAAACACACAUAUUGACACUCCCCGAUCCUAGAAUCAAGGCGUGAUGAGAAGUUCUCGUGUGAGUUCCCAGAAACAAAACCGUGAGGGCGUGGUCAGGGCCUAAAGCGGACAAUAUCGUGCUACGGUGGUAAAGUGGGCCCGGGAAGUGGUCUGCCCCAGGCCGGGAUGUGACACAUAUUCGGUCAUAUCAAAACAUAUUUUCUUAGAUUUCAAUUACUCUUUUUUCUUAAGAAAUCAUAACGUAUAGAUUUGUCCUUAUCAAAAGUUCAGAAGUAGUUGCUUUUAAUUUUUCAGUUUUUUUUUUUUCUUAUAAAUUCAAAAGCCAUAGAUUUACUGUUAUCGAAACAUUGCCUCCCUCUCAUGGCAUCUUUCUUUGGUCGAAUCUGAACUUCAUCACCACUCCUAGAAAAACUAAAGGUUAGUGGUGAAGAUGGUUCAAACUUCAAACUUUAUAUUUCUUUGGCUCAAAAUAAAAUUUCAGUUUCAGAACGUGGCUCUUGAAACGAAUCAAAACGCCACGGUCAAAAAUUGUGAUGUCCAAAAUUGAUUAGUUAAAAAAGAGCUCACUUUGAAGAGUCUCAAAUUGAUAGAGCCCAAGUGGGGAAAAACUAAAAAGGCAACAAAAUUUUCUUGAAUGCUAUUUAAUUUUCGAAGAGACUCGAUUUCCAUGAUAGAGUGUACUUCAAUGUAGCCCUAGUUUUUAGCGUUAAUUUGACAAUACAAAAUUUCAAAAUAAAAGUGUCCAUGAGACAUUUGUAACAUCUCAUAUCGACUAACGUAGAGGAGGUGAUGUGCCUUAUAUGUACAUGCUCAUCUCCAUAUAGUACGAGGCAUUUUGAGAACUCACUGGCUUUGGAUUCCAUAAGAACUCCGAAGUUAAGCGAGUACGGGCGAGAGCAUUCCUAGGAUGGGUGACCCACUGGGAAGUUCUCGUGUGAGUUCCCAGAAACAAAACCGUGAGCCCGUGGCCGGGGCACAAAGCAGACAAUAUCGUGCUACGGUGGAGCCGAGACUGGGAUGUGACAGAAUGGUAUCAGAGCCACUCUGCCGUGUGGUGCGAGUGUCAAGCCCCUAAGGAGGGUGGAUUGUAACAUCCCACAUCGACCAAUGGAGAUCGUUGUUUUUUGAACGUUUAAACAUGAAUUAUAAGAUAUUUUGCACUUGAAAAUACAUUUUGUAGAAUAUGAAGACAAUAAUUUGGUGUUAUGACUAGAAAAGACUCUCUCUCUCCUCAAUUUGUUUAGAUCAAAAUUUAUUUAGAUUUAGGUUUUAUAUCGUUGUUUUUUGAACGUUUAAACAUGAAUUUUAAGAUAUUUUGCAUUUGAAAAUAUAUUUUGUAGAAUAUGAAGACAAUAAUUUGGUGUUAUGACUAGAAAAGACUCUCUCUCCUCAGUCCUCCACCAAUACUGAAAAAUAUAUUUAUGUAAUUAACAAAACAAAACAAAAAUGACUCUCCUGUCUUAAGAGACGAGUGGCAGUACGGCCCCAACUUUCCUUGAUGGGGAAUGGUAUCAUCGUACCGUUCGCUCCCUAUUCUAAUUUUUUUUUUUCUUUUAUCUUUUUUCCUUUGAGGUUUUUUUAGGGACCACCACGGCUUCUCUCUUCUCGAGAAACCAUAUAUCCCUUAUCGAUAUAGGGACAAUUAUCUCUCAAGCACAAGUUUAGGUUCGGCCUUAGAUCAUCUCCAACCGAAGGGUUCAGAUAGUCAGAGGGUCGAAAAUAGUCCAAAAAUCAUCUACAACCGAGGGUUAGGCCAAAUGGCUCGUGGGCCUCGCGGAAUCUGAACGAGCCAGAGGGCCAACCGGCUGACCAUCUUCAACCAGCUCGCUGGCUAGCCAAUUUUGAUUUUUUUUUCCUUCCACUUGCCCAGCCCAGUUUCUUUUUUGUUCUUUCAGCCCACUUUAGGGCUUUCAGUUUUUGGUCCCAGACCAGUUUUAAAUUUUUUUGUGAACAACCCACUUUUUUCUUUUGUUUUUUUGGAUUUUUUUUUUAAUUUCUAAUUUUUUCUACACCAUUUCUCACAUAUUUUUUCAUCAUUUCAUACUAUACAUUUCAUAUUAUAGCCCUUUGCCCUUCGUGUGGAGAUGAUUUUUUGUGACAGGGCUAAAAUGAACCCUCUGGCUCUUUGGCUCUCGGUUGGAGAUGGAGGCAAAUAUGACUAUGUACUGUUCAUUAAAAUAGUAAUAUCUUGGAGGGUCAGAGGGCUAAAACAGAGCACCUAACAACGUAUCUUCAUAGACCAAGAACUACAAGAUCGCCCCUUUCUUACGUUACUUUAUUUGACUUCGUUCUUUUCUUGUUUUUUUGUUUUUGGGAUGUUUUCUACAAAAGUAUAUAUUAUAUUUAUGUAUAGUAUGUUAAUUCUAAUUAUGUCACAUUUCAUUCACAUAUAUACAUAUAUGUUUUUUUUUCUUUUUUUACAUUGAAUCUCUUAAAAAAAUGCGUGUAAUAGUUAUUUCGUAAAAACUUUUAUCAAUAAUCAGUAAUUAAUAUAAACAUAAUUAUAAGGAAUAUAACUUGAUAAGAUAUCGAAACUCAAUACCGCACACAGAUUUAUUCCCAUUGUGUUUUCAUAAGUUAUGCUAGAUCUUUCCUCUUCAUUUACAAAAGGGGUCCAAGACUGGCUUGUUUUAUACAUGAUACGAACAAACAUUUCUUAAUCUAUUGCUUCAGAUUUUGAAUUACGUUGAAGAUUGAAAAAACGAUGCAAAGUUCGGAGACAUCCAAUGACCAAGAUGAAGCAGAACCUGGUGAUAGAUCUGAAGAGCUUAAAUCAUAUGCAGUUCUCAAAAAUCGUAUCCAUGAUUUACUAAUGGUAUAUAUUAAUUUUCAUGGCUCCUCUAUUCGCUUUUUAUUUUUGUUACGUUAGUUUUUCAAGUUUUAUCUAUAAAACUAACCCACUUGCUGACACUCUUGUUGGAGUUGGACAGGCGUUGUCGGAUCCAAAUCAAUGAAAACAUCUGUGACAUUACCAAAUAAUUGGAACCCAGGAUGUGGACGCUAAGACAUCUCAAUAUAUCAUCAGUUCCAUUACGGAGACCAAAACAAGAACUUACACUUGCUUUCAAAGCUGGAUCCUGUGGAUGAGCCUGAAAUCUCAAGAGAUGGAGACAGAGAACGCCCUACUGGCAAAGUAUUGCAGGCAUUUCCAGAAGAAACCAAGUUUUUGUUGAAUAUAGGUCCCGCAUCGGGAAAUUGAGAAAAUACUAGAAUAUAGUAUAUUAGUGUAUGGUUCCACUCCUAAUAACACCGAAAAAUUUUGUGAUGAAAUUCAACACCUAGCAAUAGGUGAUUAAGUUGAGACAAUAUCAGUGUGGUUAGGGGUGGAUCAGUGACCUGUCUCUCUGAACAUCCGACAGUUUUAUGCCCACUGCAAUUCUAUUUCUGACUGUUAUCCCAUUGUGACUGCAACCCUCAAAACUCAAAACAAAACAUGUCAUUAAAUCUCAAGGGUUUUUUUGCAUAUUCAGAGAAGGUACAAAUAGAUGACUAUAUAAUGUCAUGCAUAGUUAUACAGAGAAGCUAAGCCUAACUGUCUUCAAUUGCAAAAAUGACCCUUUUUCCGUCUUUUAGUAAAUCCAUGAGGAGGGGAAAGUGCUAUAAUCUUGUGCCUUCGCGAGCUGUAGAUAUCCAACAUCACUGCGAUAUCAGCGACGCGGAAUAUAUCUCCCCAGCCCUCCGCAUCUGUACAGGUGAAAGUUGUUUUCUGCACCACACACUUCAUAUAGAGAGAAUAUCGCUCCACCACUAGUGAAAGUAGAUGAUGCAGACCACCUCCAGCUUUGAACAACACUUUUAACAAGUUUCUUACAGACGAAGGGACAAGAACACGCAAAUGUGUCGUACAGCCCACUGUGCAGAGGAGCAAACGGUUGACAAUGACGUCAACAUGCAACUGCAACUGCGGCAUCUUUUUCAGUUUGUAAGUUGUCAGAGUCAACGGGCAAAGGACUCUUCUGGAACUUGUUUCUUAGCUGACCACAUGCUGCAUCUGCAUCCAAGCCCCUUGUUUGACGAGUGCUGACCGUUACUUUGUUGUUCUCCAGAGCAGCUGCAAAUGCUUGUACCUACCAAAUAAAAUUUUGUCAGAAACCACAACAAAUCAGGUGAAUAAAACAAGAAUUAAACUAACAGAAAAGCGAAAAUUGGAUCAAGUAUAGAGGUGUUUAUGCUUGAAAACAAAGUUACAUACCGCUUUCUUGGAUGGACGUUUAUACUCAGAGCCUUCUAUUGGAUUAAAUGGUAUCAAGUUCACAUGAGAACCUCGUCCCCACUCAUGGAGUAGCUCUGCAAGUUCUACUGCAUGGUCUACCGCAUCAUUAACUCCAGCUGCUCAAAACAAAAAUCAUUGUCAGGUUGUUAAAGUAAGCAUACAGGGAUCAAAAGAGACGAACAUAAUUUUUCUAAAUCUUAUUUCACUACCUAAGAGUGCAUACUCAAAGGAAACCCGUCUACCGGUUUCAGUGAAAUAGUCCCUGCAAUCCCUCAUCAGUGCACUCAGAGGGUAUGCUUUUGCACUUGGCACAAUUGUUCCCUCAGCUUCUGGUUAGGAGCAUGCAGGCUGAUGCACAAUAAUAUGAGAAACGCUUAGCAAGGAUUUAACUUCAGAACGCUUCCCCUUUUUUUUUUUUCUUUUUUUUUUCUGAACAAGCAGUUCAACAAAAUGCUCUAAUAAAUACAAAUAACUCAUUCCCAUUUAAAAAUAACAUACCUGACAGCCAAUGUCGACUGAAGUUUGUGAGAUGCCAGCCUUUUAAUUGUAUUUGGAACCCCCACGGUAGAAAUUGUGAUCAUUCUUUGCCCAAUUUGAAUAUCCUGUAGAAAAUAAAGUCCAACAUAAAUAAGUUUCACUCAGAUCAUAAUGUUAACAAUUUUAUAAAAUAGCAUUCCGCUUUAAUACUAGUAGGUUUCAUGUCACAAGGUCAAACUUCUUGAUUCUAUAUAUUAAACAUGGAACCAAAGCAGCUAUUAAAAAGCACAAGAUAAAGUUGCAAAGGCACCUUGUUUAGACACUGAUGCGCUUCAAGUACCACCUUCAGGUUCAUCAUCGGUUCACCCAUUCCCAUGAACACGACAUUAGUCACCCUAUGGCUGAAGAUUUCCUCUAUAGCCAAAACCUGGAAAUAUGAUGGUAUCCAGAAUCACAAUAUAUACUGAGCUUGCUCAUGUAUAGCAUACAACAAUGGUAAACCUUACAUGAAAUUUUCAAUCAUGCCUGUGCACAAAUUAGAUCAACAAGCGAGCAUGCAAACAGCCCUUACUUGUAACGGAAUUUGAAGAUAAGAGCAUGGAAAAGACAGUUGAUACUGCUCAACAAUUUCAUGCCUCUUGAGGUUUCUUGAAAAUCCUCCUUUUCCCGUGGCACAAAAAGAGCAACGAAGAGGGCAUCCCACCUGUUUCACCCAAAUUAAUAAGAAAUACAAUACAAACUGCACUGCGGUGAACCAUGCACAAAACCAACACUAAAACAUAACUGCAGGGAAAUUUUAUUUCAAUGGCUGAAUCUCAUCUCAGAAAAUCACCUGUGAUGAGACACACGCUGUAAGGCGCAUCACACCUUUCUCGUCUUUAACUGGUAUGCCAACAGUUUCAAUCAAUCUGUUAUCCUCCAACCUUAUCAAUACCUGCAAGAAUCAAUGGCACAACUCUUAACCGCUAAUACGCUAAUCCAAAAAUUACUUACUGGCAAUCAAACAGCCCCAUUUUACAAACAAUCAUGAUCCAUGUAAACCAUUCAACUUCACAUUGAGUUAUAACAAGGAUAUCCCACAAAAAUUAUCCAGUGGCAGUAACCAUUUUCCAAGACAUUACCUUGACGGUGCCAUCAGCAGCAGUGACGCUCUGGUAAAUGGGUGACCUACCAACUUUCCAUCCAGCUUCCUCAAGCUCAUUUCUGAAUGCCAGAGGCACUGCAACACAAAACCCCCACAGUAAUUUAGCAUUGCCCCCCAAAACCCAAAAAACCCAACUUUUUCUAGAGAGAGAGAUGGAGAGAGAAAGUUACCCUGACUGAAAUCCUGAAUAUCUUUAAUCUUUCUUUUGUAAAUAAGAUGAUGGAGCUGCUUCCCUCUGUAGCCUUGCUGUAAAUACAUUUUCAGAAACAGAAAUUUAAGUAAAUAAAUUCAGUAACUUUCAUUUCUGCACAAACAAAUUGAGAGCAUUUUGUGCUUGUUUACCUGACUGAAGUCGAUAGCUAGCUGCUGGAGCUCUGGUUCCGACAAGCCGAGGAGGACUUGGGGGUCGGUGCUUUUGGGGGCGGUGGUGGUGGUGGACAGGUUCAUGCUCGCCGCUGCCAUGGCGCGAGUGCGGGCAGCACGUGAGAGAGGAACGGCGCAGACGCGCUGAAUUAGCGACGUUGACGAGGCUGUCAUCAUUGUGCUGUGCUGGGUUUUUGCUUUGGCGCGAGAUGAAGAAGAUGAAGCAGAGGAAGAAAGAGCGAGAGUGGGGCUAAAACCUCAGCUUUGUGGUUUACUGAUAUUGGACUUGAUAUGGGCUUUAGGCCCAAGUUGGAUCAAGCCCAUAAUUUGGUCUCGAGCCUGAAUCAGUCCAUGAACACGGUAAAGAGUGGCAACGGGUCGUGUUCAAGUUUAUUUAUUUAUGUUUCGUGUCAGUUGAUCAAUACGUAAAACGAUGUAAAAAUUAAUAACAUAAUAAGCGAUAUAAUAUUUCAUAAUAAGCGAUAUAAUAUUUCUUGAACAACAUUAGUCGUGUUUUAAUUAUGUUAUUAUAUACAUUAUACACCUCGAGUCUUGUACAUAAGAAGUACUCUGAUAAUGAUUAUUGAGAUCUUAUAGAAAUGGACAGUCACAAGUGAUUAGUCCAGCCUUGACAUUGUUUCUAACUUAACAACCUCGAUGAUAUUUUUCCAAAUCCACUGCUACUUAUAAUUCAUAUAAUUAUCUCGAACAUAAGAAAGAAGUAGAGAAAAAUGGGAGCUUGCAGCACCUGGUUCGUAUAAACUUGGCUUGGAACUUGGAGGUUUAAUCGCGUAGCCUCACUCUUUUUUAUUUUAUUUUACACAAUCAAUAUUGGAGAGGGAAUUGAACUCGAGACUUUCGGUGCAUUAGUAGAAACUCUUAGCCAACAGAGCUACAACUCCACAAUUGUGAAGCUUCCAUUAGUUUCUCAAAGUAAGAGGGACAAAUGGAGAGCAAUAUUUUGAAGUGUAGAUGUAAAGAAUGGCAAAUCCUAUACCAUAUGGGAGCCUGGUUAGGUCCUGAAACGCUAGCUGUAGCUCUUGUGGGUUUUUUUGUGAGGACUGCUGAGCUGAAACUGUUGAGUCAUAAGCAGUAGGCGCUUCCCACAUCGACGAGACCAUCAAGAACGAGCUACAGUCGGGAAUAUAAAAAGGGGCAUUUCCGUGCAAGUAAAAAUUACGGAGCCAUGCAUUGAGCACAAAGCGAACUAUUCUUUCGCCUUUUACUAAAGAAUACCGUGUGCUCAUUGCUAUAAGUGGCAUACGCCUAUUUUUGGAGGGGUGCACCUUUGUGGGUGCCCCUUACAAUUCCAGUUCACAAUUUAUCAGAUUUGCGGCAACGCUAUCCAUGUAUGUACUAGGAAGAUUAUGUAAAAUGAAGACUGUCACAUUGUUAACGAGAAAUACGACCUAUAAACUUUAAUCCGAUGCUUGUAAAUCUGUUUUGUAUUUUUCAACGAUUAGAAAAAUUUCUGAAUCCGCCACGUGUUUUCAAUAUUUGUUCGUUGAUUACAAUCAGUGUCUCCUUCAUUACGACACAAUGAAGAAAGUGACUACUCUUCCUUUGCCCCUUGUUCUGCUUUUAAGGUCCUACGCAAUGUUUUAUUGCUCACAACUAGGUGUCGAUGCCAGGUGAGGCUAAGCUCACUCAUCCCUUUUAGUGUAAAUAAUAUUAUCGUUUGUUCAAGAAAAGGUGUCACUGCCGGAAUAUCAAGCUGGCAGCCAUGGGACUGAUUUUCUCAUUCCUUCUGAUCGCCAGUGGAUUCAAGUGGAAGAAAUUUUGGUUACGGAUACUUUUGAGUAAACCAAAUUGUUCCAAUUGGUAACUCUUCGUAACUCAAGUUCUUAAUUUGUUUGUUCCUUGUACAAACUAUAUAUAUGUUUCUCAUUACCAACAAAUUAAAGUUCUAUGAACUAAUUUCCAAUUUAGAAGCCAAUCGACGGAUUAAAUUCCAAAAAUCCGUAGUUAAUUGCACAUACAAAGAGUCGAUUGCAUGUUCCACAUUGUAACGAGACACAAAAAGAGCAUUUUAUCAAUCACCAAACACAAAUAACAAAUCGACCUCUAAAAGUUAUUGGAUUUACCUACCAGAUCAGUGAACAACUUGCUCGAGUUCGGAGCGAGGUUCUUCGUAUACAAGCAAAAUAUGUUGUAAUCAAAACACAAAUUGCUAGUCGUCAUCCAAAGGCGACUGCAUUACAAGAUAUGUGUUUUUGACUAUCUAUGCACUGACAUGUAUGAUGCAAUGGGUCCUGUGAUCAAUCAUGUUACAUUCCAAAAAUUUGACAACGGGUUUUGCCGCCAGAAGUAUAUAGUUAGAAUGGAGACCGCUAAGCAUAUUGUAGUUCUAGUUCCCUUGAUUCAUACGCCGGAGGCAGCAAACUGUGUAUGUUCGCAAAAGGAUCUUCACUGCCUGAUGGUGGCUCCCCAAUAGGUUUAUCCAAAACAUAGUCAGGAAUCGCUACAAGCGUUUCAUCAAAAAACUCUUUCAUGGUCUGCAAGGUUCAAGAGUCAUAUCAGAAACUUAAGCAACUCAGAAAUAACAUACUUUCCUGGAUCAGAGUAAAAAACCAUUGGAAAAUAAUGAAUGAAUAUCAGGCAUUGAUUGGGGAUGGAUUAUAACUUUCAAGUCCUAAAAGUGGAACUUAAAAAGUAUACAAGGAUAAUAACAGCAGCAGCAGGAGCAAUAAUACUACCGUGCAAUGCAGGAAAGCAGCAUCAGCCUUGCGUUUCCAUUGACUAUUCCCAGGUUCUGAAUGGAAAAGACCAAUCAAAGGCUGCAGCAGAACAGAAAGAGGGUGAUGCAAUUGCACCAAAUUACUAUGGUCGGAGAAAACUUCACUCAACAAGAGACUACCUUAAGAUAUUGUAAACCACUCAACAACAAAAAGCAGUGAAAGAGGCGAGAAUAGAGACACCAGGAUAAUAUGGUAUUUCACAAAUUGAUGAUACUGCAAAAGCAUUCAGGUCUAUUUUCUCAAGAAUUCCUUUGCAUCGUUAAACAUAUCCAAAAUGAUAUCCCAGUGCAUUCGGCCUAAAAGAAAUGAUAGCCCAGAGUAAGACCCACCCAUAAGGUAACAACUAGAAUUCAACAAGGCAGAUUGAGCAAGCAAUGCAUGUCAAAUUACAUAAUAUAUAUUAAGCCGUUUGGUAAUGUAAUGUGACAUGUGACAAGACUGAAGAGACCCAUGUUAAUAUUUUUUUAUCCUGAUAUUUUUUUUUAAAGAAAAUCAUCUCGGAGUUGGGAAAAUAUGGAAAAUAAUAACAUAAUAUUGUCAGUUUGACAUUUUCGUGUGUGCAAGAAGAGUUUGUUGGCAUAUUCUAUUUUCUCUAGUAUGACGGGUAUGUGUAAAACUUUCCAGAUAUGAACAUAAUAUUAUGAGGAUGACGGUAGCACUAACCCUUGCUACAUCUCGCACAGUUGGUUUGCGUCCAUAUUUUCCCACAGCAGUAUCUCCAUACGCUCGAAACUUCUCCAGUAUCUAAAGGAGGCGGAAAAGAUAGUUAUAAGCUGUAAAAGUUCAAUGGAAACUGAGUAGAUACACCUAUAUACAGCCAAGUUUGCAGACCUGACGCCGUGUUACACCACUGCUUGGUGCUCCAUAAACUACAGUAUCAACAUGUCCCAAAGUAUGCCAUGGUCUAUUGAAAAAUGUACAACGGUUGUCAGUCAACUUUGGAGUCACAUAUUAACAUUGCAGUAGAGAGGACUAUCAGAAUUUUAAAUCAGAAUUCUAAAUCUAAAUAAAAUAAAAACCUAACCUAAAGUUAACACAAAUUUUAACCCAAAAUGUUGGGGAUAUUUUAAUAUGGUGGAAUCAUUAAAGCUAGUAGUUAGUCUUCAUUCAAGUCUUGAUCUUUCACUUUCCAGUAAAUUUCUUACUUGGCACAUCCAAGAUGCGCAUUUGGUUCAAGGGUAGCGGACAGACUUGCAUAUGGGCUAAAUAAUAUAGUGGAGGGAAAAUGCUUCCUUUUCUUGGACAACCCUCGUAGACCAGAAAAGAUCAACAUAAGAGUUUUCAUAAUCAGCUACCCUAAUUUCAUUCUUUCAAGUCUUGCGUCUUCUACUUAAGCCCUUGUUUCACGCAAAAAUUUCAUUUGGUCCUUUGAUAGGAAACAAAAACUCUACUGAAAGAACUCUAGUUUCACUCUAAGGGCUAGAAUUACAUGUGCACUCAGACACAAAAAUGAAACAGAAGUAUAUACAGUAUAAUCAUCAGAGAGGAUAAGAGUCAUAAAAUAGACUGAUAGAGACUUGAACUACGUAUACCAAAUUUGAAAGUUCUUGCAGCAAUUACCACAAGGAAAAAGAAAAUCCAAAUUAUGAUAUUACAUACUUAUUAAAUGCAGCGCGUCCAACCAUUACACCAUGAGCUCCUGCCCUUCUUGCUGCAUUGACCUAUAAUUAGUGGGGGAAGACGACAUGAGAUAAAGGUUGUCAACAUAGAGUUUCUGCAUCAACUAAGAGGCAGCACAAAAAUGUCGACAGUUUUGUUGUAUCACUAUCACCAUGUAUGCCCAACUCAUGUUAGAAACCAGGAAUUCCAAUUCAUAUAUAUGCAUAAAGUUGGAACAUCAAGAAAAUAACAGGUAAAUUUUGCAUAUAUGCUGUAUUGACUAAUUACAAUGAAGAAAGUUUCAAAACAAUACAACCUUGUCAACAGUAAGGAAAUGACAGCAGGGACACAAUACCCCAAGUUACACUAAUGUCCCAAUGGACGACACAAAAUUUUAUAGAAAAUAAUGAUAGAAUUGAAUAAAAAUGUAGCUGGAAACAUGAUAUCCUCUGAAGACAAUACAAUUGUUCAUAGGUUCACCUCCUCAACGGUGUUUAUGCCCCCAUUUAUUGUAAAUCUCAAGUCUGGAAAGUCACGCAAGAGGCCAUAAAAGUACUCAUAUCUGCAAUAAAGUAAUAUAUGAACAUUAAUAAGAAGCCGUAUGUUACUUGUGAAUGUAAUACAAAUGUUUACAAAUAUAAUCCAAGCAUUUUUUAAUAGCAAUUAUGAGAUAAGCAUAUCAGUAAAGUGAAGAAAAUAUAAGUUCAUAAAACAAGAAAUAACAGAAUACAUACUUAAGAGGCGGAAUACUUCGAUUUUCAGCUGGGCUAAUUCCAUUAAGUAGUGCCUUCCGUGAAUGUAUUAUGAAAUGCCUAGUUGGUGAUUGAGAAGAAACCUUGUAAAUAAAAUCACCUGAAAAAGAGACAGGUGGUGACAAAAUUAAGUGAGGAUGCAACUCAAGAAACUAACAUAAGCAUAGCUAUAUUCCUUUCAUAUUCAGAUAGACAACGAUAUGGAAUUAGAUAAACUCAGUUAUAAGCAUUAGAUGAAUCAAUAAUGCUCUAUGUUUAUCACUCAACAAGCAUAUAAAACAUAAAUGUGGAAAGUGUACGCAACAAACAAAAGGUGGUUCCUGUUAACUUUCCAAAAAGCUGCACUUUGCUGUUGUAGGAUAAUUUAGAAAGCUCUUGCAUUUACCCCAUCGCUUCUAUAUCGGUACUACAUUUCACUGCUAAAUUUGUAUUUAAUCUGAUGGAUGAAACUUUGUAAUAUAAAUUACAUCCUCUUUUUGUUAUUUGGCAUACUGUAAAUCAUGUCUAAACCUAUUCUUUUAAUUUCCUUUUCCUUUAACUCAGAGAUCAUUUUGAACUUAUGGUAAGAAAAAUAUGCAAAAUCACCAAACUGAUCAAAAUUUAGGCUUCCAACGAUGUACAAAUUUUGACUUUUUGUAGCACUGAAUGUCAUUGUGUUUUCAUGGUAUAAAUAUAAUUGCAUAAUCAUAAAGCAAUAAACAAGGGCUAUGAAAGGUAUGGCCAAACACAGAAUGCAAAAUUCAAGCAUAACUAUUUAUAUUAUGCAAGAAACUAUGUGUCCUCAGUUCAUCAUUCGCUGGCUUUUCCAAUGUCUUUCUUCUUUUUUUCUAUAUUGAUAUUGACUAGUUUGCUGACUAUAUAAACAGAAGAAUCAGGCAAAGAAAACUUACAGAGCUCGUUUAUGAGUCAUGAUUAUCAACACCAAUUCGACAUUUCACGCUAACAGGUGCAUCUGUGUGCGCAGCAAUCACUGACAUAGCCUCAGCAACAAACUUUCCUUGUAAAGACCAAAUGUCUUUAUCAGAGAACAUUAUAAAGAAAAAAAAACUAUAUAUAUAUGUGUGUGUGUGUGUGGAAAAGUUGCAAAUAACAAUAUAAUGAGAAAGGUAUCAAACCUUUGGAUCAAGCAUAAGACUAGCACCAAAGCACCCGUGCCCAGCUACUCUUGGACUCGGACAUCCACAACUGGUAAACGGUAGAGGGUCAGAUUAGAGGUUGGGGAGAACUUGAAAGAUAAAAAUUCUAACGGACAAAAGCUUAAUAAAGAGUACAAACUUAAAAUUGAUCUCAUCAUAUUUGUAAGGGUUAGCAAGCUCAGUCGCUUUGGCGAGGUUUUCCAAAUUAUUCCCGCCAAUUUGAAGAACAAUAGGAUGUUGUUCCGGGGAAUAUUCCAAGAAUCUAUCCUGUUAAAAGUCCCACUAUCAGUAUCAGUUUUCUUAAUCCAAACAUAUCGAAUACAUAUCGAAUGUACAAGAAAAAUCCAGAAAUAAAUGAAACUGUGAAUACCAGUUCAAAAUUUAUCAAAAAAAUAAAAACAUAACAAAAUAAAAGAACUUUAAUCUAGGGGUUGGCCCUUAACCCAAGGGUUGGGGCGGGUCUAAGGUGGAGAAAUUGACGGGGCAGGUCCAAAAAUCAGAAGAAACAGGGCUCUGGCCCGAACUGUUCUACCGUUGGACAAUUGGAUUGAAUCACACCUCCACCGUUGGAUCUUUUCUCAUUCAUUAUCAGACUCACUCUUCUCUCCCAAGUGCCUCGACAGCCAUCAUCAAUUCACCAUCCCUUGACUCUGUCUCCCUCUCUUUGGCUUCUGGAAACCACCAUCACCAUCGUCUCCUCCCAUACCUUCCAAUCGCGACCACCCCCGUCACCACCAUCGAGAUUGUACAACACCACGGCCAGCGCUUGCGAAUCAAAAUCGACCACCAACCAUCACCAAUUGAAAUUGGCCACCACCUACUGGGAUGAGCAGGGGACAUGGAGCCAAUGAUUCCAGUGAAAUCUCUGAGAUGGUGGCGUACACCAAAUAAACUUCACAAUUUCCACCAAAUUACUUUUUGGUUGAGACUAUUUCAAAGCUUUCAGAUGCUGAUGUGACACUGAACAAUUCCUUCUAAUCUUAUACAAAAUGAAGUCCAAUGGGUUUCAAUGAGGUUAGGCUUGGCUCAGUUAAAGACUUCUUAUGAGCUCACGGUGUGGUAGAGUUAAUAGUAUAUGGGGAGAAAUAGCUAAGUGUUCCGGGAACACAGAGAUCUCAAUUAGAGGUAAUAAUGCAUUCUAAACACAGUAGCAAGAUCAUGCAUCUUUUAUGAAGUCCAUGAACACCCUUUUACUGUAGUAUUAGAAAUUCAAAAUAUUCAACUGAUUGAAACCGAUAAUCAGAAACCCCCCACGGUAAAGUUAUCUACUUCAACUAAACGCUUUAUUUAAAGAGAAAUGUCAAGUAAACACAUGGAAGAUGUUUGUCAAACUAACCCUUCUAUUAGAUGCCUACAUCAAUUCAGUAGAACCCUAAUGUUAUCUGGAGAAAACCAACUUCUACCGAAUUAAUUAUUCGUUGCCAGUAUUUCAAAGCUUUCGGAUUCGGAAGUGAAACUCAACAAAUCUUUCUAAUGUUGCACAAAACGAAGUCCAAUUUGAGGCUACAAAUUGCAAUACUUGCAGAAAGAGUAAAUAUAAAUAUGGUUUACCAGAUUAUCCUUCUGGUAGACAAUGGUCUCAGCAGCAAGCAUCUCGGUGUAGAGCCACGCAUUCUUCGAAAUGAGCCUGGCCAGCGUCCUGUAGUGAUUGUCAGUCCACUCCAUCAUGGGAGCAAUACUGUAAAUUUGCAAAAAAACCCAAUUCCGCAAAAAACCAUAAAAAUCAUGGGCAGCAAUGCAAUGUGCAAAUCAAUUGAAAAGUAGAGAGAGAGGGAGAAGAAGAUGAGAACCUAAACCAAGGAGGAGGGUAAUGGGCGUGGUGAGGGUGGGUGGCGAGAGAAGAAACCAUGGCGGCGGCAGCGGCGGGUGUGCUACUGCUGAGCAGUUGAUGGGUUUUGAGAGGAGGAGGAAGUAAAAGUGGUGGUGGUGGAUGAGUUGGCCGUUGAAGAAGUGCCCUGAAAUAGAUUAAACGACAAUUUGCCACGGUUUUUUGUGCGAAGAAAAGCAGAAUGAAUAGGAGUAACAGAGGAAUAAGAAGAAGAAGAAGUUGGAAAAUUCAUUUUUUUUCUUAUGGGUCUGAAUUUAAACUCACGGUUCAGAGAAUCUCAGAGGCUCCUGCUGGUUGUGUUUGUUGGCUCCAUGGACUCUCGGGAGGGAGGCUGAUAGCUUGAUAGGGCAAUUCUUGGUCGACGGAGGCAGAAGACAGAGCCACUGGAAAACGAAAGGUUGCUAUCUAUUGGACUUGGACAUGUUAAAAGUAGCCCAAUUUAACACUAGGCCCAAUUAAAAAGCAUUUAGCUUACUUUUACAUAAAUACUGUUUGACUCUUUACAUAUAAAAAUCACUCGUUGUCAAUGCAAAAUUAAAAUAUGCAAAAAUAUAACAAAAGCUUAUGAAUAUAAGUUAAAAUGUGAUUUUUCUGCAAAAACCAAAGAUUUAUUUUACAUGUAAGGAGCCAAGUAUUUUUCGUUAUGAAAUUUGAUCUUUAACACCCAAAUUCCCUUUUGAAAAAUUAAAAAAAAAACAAAAAGAGAAAAAAACUUUGGGUGUCCAAAAACCCUCAAUAUGACCGUCACACGAGAUGGUACACUACGUGUUCCUAUAGAAAUUGUGGGUUAUAUGUGUUAAAAGGUUAAUAAAUUAAAAAUUUAAAAAUUUCACCACUUGCAUAAAAACAUGUAGUAUACCAUCGUGUUCUCGUCACAACUAAAAAUUUCUCUUACGGGGCCCACAUUCAUCUUCAAGUAUAUGUGGCGGAGAAACAACCGCUGUAACUGUUUUUCUUCUUCCUGCAAACUCUAUCAGUUCAGUUCCUUACUCUCACUACUUCCAUGGCGAGCUUCAGCUUCAACACCACCAGAAUCAGAACCCCCACCCUUCACUCUCACAAACCCAUCUCCAAAUUCAUCUCCCGCGUAAACCCCAUCAAAAUCCCAUCUCCUCUCUUCACCAAUCCCUCAAAACCCCGGCCAAAACUCCGCUGUUUCCGACCCAAUUCCGUCUCGGAAAGCUCUGUUUCCACGACACAAGAAGCAGAGGAGGAGGAAUUCGAUGAAUUGGACGAUGACCCGACGGCGGAGCUGAGCUACCUCGACCCAGAAACCGACCCGGAGAGCAUUUCGGAGUGGGAGCUGGAUUUCUGCUCGAGGCCGAUUUUGGAUAUCAGGGGGAAGAAGGUGUGGGAGCUGGUAGUGUGUGACGAAUCGCUGUCUCUGCAGUUUACAAAGUAUUUUCCGAACAAUGUUAUCAACAGCAUUACUUUGAAGGAUGCUAUUGUGUCCAUUAGUGACGAAUUAGGCGUCCCUCUGCCGGAUAAAAUCCGCUACUUCAGGUAAUCAUAACCGUUCAUUUUCUUAAUCUUCAUUUAAAGAUCAUCUUUGCAACUAAACCGGCAAAGAUGCAGUCAUUUAUAUGUGUCGAACAAAUCAACAACUACGUUAAUCACAAUUGGUGAGGUGCGCUCAUCGGGUUGGCGCAACUAUUUUCUUACUAGUUGUUACAACUCGGUAACAAUGGCUGAAAUUUUGCAAAUUUCUGAACGAAAAUAGCAUGUUUGGGGCACGUAUGAGGUACCUUACCCUCACAUUGGUCACUCGUGCGCAAAAUAUUUUGAAAGAAGUUGAUGAAAUAAAGUCAUUGUCCUCGAAUUGUAACAUAUAGUAAAUUAGAGGGUUAAAAUCGCAGAACUUAGCCGUUUAUUUUGCGCAUAAUGUGUGCUUCUGUGGAUUGUGCGUACUUGAGAAAGCAUGUCACUUGGGAUUUGGUAACGGUUCCACUUUUAUGAUUUGUCUAAUUGGACUACGUAGGUCACAGAUGCAGACAAUUAUCACAAAGGCAUGUAACGAGCUUGGUAUAAAGCCGAUUCCCAGUAAACGGGUAAGCAUGUUUUUCUUAUCAAUUGUCUAAUUUUCGGAACAUGUACAGAUUGAGGAAGCAGGUUUUCAACCACACAACUGAUCAAGUAACUUAAGAAAGUUAAGCUAAUAGCCUAGAGAAUUUAGAGGGCCACUACAGAGUUAAAGAUUUCUGUUUUGGAAAAUUGUGGUUGGUUGUUUUCUGUUACGUAAAUUAUCACCGGAAAUAAACACGGUUGUACUGUACAGAAGUAUGUGACAUUGAACUAUCGCGAUGCUACCGCAGAUGCAGAAGUUGCAUGACUUUGAAACACUGUCAUCAGUUAGCAAUGAAGCUUUUUCUUUGAGUUUCUGGUGCAACUGCUUCUCUCUGUCUGCUUAUUGUCUUAAAACAUUGCUUUUUUCAGUGCCUAUCGCUGCUUUUGUGGUUGGAAGAACGCUACGAGACAGUAUACACACGCCAUCCUGGUUUCCAGAAAGGAUCUAAGCCGCUCCUGGCAUUGGAUAACCCUUUCCCAAUGGAACUUCCGGAAAAUCUUGUUGGCGAGAAAUGGGCCUUUGUUCAGUUGCCCUUUUCAGGUAAAGAACUUGCUAAUAGCGACGUUUCAACAAAUAUAACAAGUCACAUUCUCUGACCUGCCUUAUUCUUCCAGUAACAUUUCAUGUGCCCUUGCUAAUUCUACUUCCUGUUUCAGCUGUUCAAGAGGAAAUCUCAUCCUUAGACACGAACCUCGUGUUUGGCGCAAGUCUAGAUCUGGAUUUGUUGGGGAUUGAAAUUGACGAGAAGACAUUGAUUCCAGGAUUGGCUGUUGCAUCUUCACGUGCAAAACCGCUAGCAGGUGUUUAUUCUCUCGGACUGUCGUCUUCUUUCUUCUUAUGCAUAUUUACUUGCACAUAUCGAUACACAGAUAGCGUUUUGUGUCAUUGGAUUGCUAAUAUGAACUGUUGGGCGAGUGGAUCGACAAGAUAACAGUAUCUUCUUGUGAUACAUUUUCCAUAAGUCCGCUCUCAUUCCUAUUGCGUCUUGUACAAUUUUGUGUUGUUCCUCUAACAAUCAAGGAUCUGAUCACAUCUUGCUAUAUGGUGCUGCAGCUUGGAUGAAUGGGUUGGAAGUUUGCUCUAUUGAAGUCGAUUUGUCACGGGCACGCUUGCUACUUUCUGUCGGGAUCUCUGGCCGAUAUAUUUACGCCACCUACAAUAAAACUCCUGAAACAAGAAGUGAAGCCGAAGCUUGGGAAGCAGCAAAGAAGGAUUGUGGAGGCUUGCACUUCCUUGCAAUCCAGGGGGACUUGGACGGUGAUGAUUGUGUCGGAUUUUGGCUUCUGCUGGACUUGCCACCUCCACCUGUAUAGUUUAAUCUGUCGAAAGGUUUUCGAAAGAAAUCACUCUCACGUUAGUUUCUUAGUUACAUUACUUCAUCUUCAUACUUCAUAGUUGAGAAAUGAUUGCGAAUACUGCUUUGGAACGGAGUUUCUUGUUGAAAAUUUGUACUGUUUAUCAAACUCGCUAUCCGGUAAACUUGGUAGCAGGGUUCAAGGUCUCUCAUGCAAAACUUUGGUUCGGGGUCCCUGAGUUAUCGUACCGGGUCUGUGAUCCUGUGUUUGGGAUCACAGACCCAAAGUUAUCCACUUAACAUUUUCAACUUGUAUUGCCCCUCCUUCUAAGGAACUUUAGGAUGCGAAAUAUUCCACAGAAAAGCAAGCACAACCCUCCUUCAUUCAUCUUUAUUCUAACCUCGUUUGAAGUAGUCUCGAUUUCGCCGUUCACCCCUGCAAGUUUCCAGAACUUAUCAAGUUCGUCAGGCGUGGGAUUUACAGUUUCACAACUAAUUGAUGGUGCCACCAAAAUCGACUCCUGCUCGGGCGUAGUCAGUUACGAGGCACCCCGAUCUGCACGAACAAUGACUUGAGGAUGGGAUGCUUUCUAAUUGCUGAACAAAUUUCAGUCAUCAAAGUAAUGCCGGAAGCAUUCAUACUUUCAAAGAUGGUAAAACACAUCUGCACCGCUACGAAAACAACUUUUCAUUCCUAUCCUCUCUGUUACCGAGAGUUCUAAAAUAUCAUAGUUCGAGGCUGAGUAUUCGAAUACAUUUCAAGAAGAUAGCUUAGCAGUCUAUACAACGAAAGAAAGAAAAAAAAAAAAAAAAGGAGAAAAAAAGAAAAGAAAACCUGCCUACCUCAGAAUUUACCCCGGUUCACCAGAACCCAUUCUUCACGACCGAUGAAACUGAACAGCCCUGCACAUACAAUCCAGUCUCAAGUCCGAAAGAAUGUGAGCACAGAUACAAGCCAAUGGAUAUGCUACAACAUGUUAUCUCUUCCGCCUUUUCAGAGGCAGACAACUUCCUUUCCAUCUUAAUCUGGAAGAAAGCCUACAGAUGAGAUCAACACAAACAUCAAGUUGUGUGUACGUACAGCCCUCAUGUUCUUGGCCUCUUAUGCUUUUGAGAUACAAAUCGAACCCCUUGCUUCCCGAGUUCCAGAGAUUUGACUUUGCCAUCAUCUAAAGUAACAGAUAAUGUUGACAUGCCUUCAAUAACAUCGCUAACCACUCCCUUAUGCCUGUACGAAACAUGGGAAAAAGGAAAGAAAUCAACUCAAAUGAUAACACCAAAAGUCUCCCCUUAAAGUAACACUUGAUACUGAAAACCACAUCUUCUUCGGAAACAAUCAUUUAGCAGAAAACAUGACCGACAAUCGUCUUAAUGAUUAAAUUGCUGGUAUUAAACUGCUUACAACUCAAGAAGUCCUUUUAUAUGUUAGUAUGAACUGUAAUAUUUUGUUUUAUCUUAUUUAGGGUCCUAUGAGACUGAGUAAUGCACUAUACAGAAACAACAAACUCACCAUGAAUUGUCAGAUAGCUGCUGAACUUCAACUCGCUUUCCAAUUGCAUCUCUGCCCAAUUUUUUCAAUAUCCAGUUAACAUCCAUCUCAUCCAUUACAUUAUCCUGAACUGAUUGUGUCUUGUCAUCAUUCUCACCAAAUGAUGUCUUCUCCAUAAACGGUGAUGCUCUCUUUCUUUUUGACCGCUGGCCCUUGACGUAACUUUUUUCUUCCUCAUGAUGAGAAGAAUUCUGAUUUUCAAUAUUAGGCUUCUUGAGCUUAAACUUCAAUGACGGAGGUUUGGCAUCUUUUGACGAAGAAUGUGACACGGGUGUCUGAGCGUAAGAAUCAUUGGUUUCAGUACGUAUAUUAGACCUGCUAUGUGAAUGCUUCCGGGAAUAUACCCUGUCAUUUCUUAAAGUCGGGACUUCACCUACAGGCACAGCUGCAGUCGUGCCUCCUUCAAUGCCUUUUCCAAACGAAACAGGUGUCUGCUCAGGUUGAAUGGCUUCAUAUUCAUCAGCCUUAUCCCCUCUUGCAAAUUUGGGGUUAUGAUCAGAAGCUCCAGACCUAACUUUUCCCAACUUUAUAAAGUUUCCUUCUCUCCCAGAAACCUUUGGAACUUUCAAAGGGCUAGAAUAAUCACUUUUAUCUGCACAAUGUCAUCACGAAGGUUUCAACUUUCAAUUACACAACAUAAGAAAACAUCCAAUUUUGACUGAAAUACUAAUCAAUUGAAAAGAGAUCGAACUUUUCCACCAUACUAAUGGGUUGCAACUUGUAAUCCUUAUACCUUUAGCAUUAACCGAACCAUCAUGUCUAUCCACCAUAACAGGUGCUCUCUGCUGGCUGGCAUCUUCACCGGCUGCCCAUCAAGAGGAACACAAGUCAUAUAUCUACACAUAUAUACAAUACACACACAAAAUAUAUUGGUUUCUUUCAAGAAUUUUCUACUAGCCUAUUUAUCUUUAUUAAUUAAAGUAACCUGGCUACAUCCACCAUAAGCAGCUACUUCUCUUAUUGGUUUUCAGCCCUCAAAAUAUUUUUUUUAUAUAAAAAACGAUGGUUUUUGGCCCUCAAAAUUGAAGUGAUAUUCUAAAUAAUAUUGCAAGUGGGGACAGAACAACAACAACAACAAAGCCUUUUCCCACUAAGUGGGGUCGGCUAUAUGAAUCCUAGAACGCCAUUGCGCUCGGUUUUGUGUCAUGUCCUCCGUUAGAUCCAAGUACUCUAAGCCUUUUCUUAGAGUCUCUUCCAAAGUUUUCCUAGGUCUUCCUCUACCCCUUCGGCCCUGAACCUCUGUCCCGUACUCACAUCUUCGAACCGGAGCGUCAGUCGGCCUUCUUUGCACAUGUCCAAAUCACCGGAACCGAUUUUCUCUCAUCUUUCCUUCAGUUUCGGCUACUCCUACUUUACCUCGGAUAUCCUCAUUCUCAAUCUUAUCCUUUCUCGUGUGCCCACACAUCCCACGAAGCAUCCUCAUCUCCGCUACACCCAUUUUGUGUACGUGUUGAUGUUUCACCGCCCAGCAUUCUGUGCCAUACAACAUCGCUGGCCUUAUUGCCGUCCUAUAAAAUUUUCCCUUGAGCUUCAGUGGCCUACGACGGUCACACAACACGCCGGAUGCACUCUUACACUUCAUCCAUCCAGCUCGUAUUCUAUGGUUGAGAUCUCCAUCUAAUUCUCCGUUCUCUUGCAAGAUAGAUCCUAGGUAGCGAAAACGGUCGCUUUUUGUGAUCUUCGCUAGAUUGCUCCGGUUAUUAGUGUGGAUAAGUAUAUAAAUGGAUAGAGAUAGGAAAGCAAACACAAGAUGUACGUGGUUCACCCAGAUUGGCUACGUCCACGGAAUAGAAGAGUUCUCAUUAAUUGUGAAGGGUUUACACAAGUCCAUAGGUUCAAGCUCUCCUUUAGUGAGUACAAGUGAAUGAUUUAGUACAAAUGACAUUAGGAAAUAUUGUGGGAGAAUGAUCUCGUAAUCACGAAACUUCUAAGUAUCGGAGUGUGGUAUCAUCUUGACUUGCCUUAUCUGUCUCAUAGGUAGAUGUGGCAGCUUCUCUGGAAGUACUCUUCCUCCAUCCAGGGGUGGUAUCUUUAACUGAUGGAGAUGCACAAGGUAAUGUAUCAAUUUCACUUGAAGCUUACUUGUAGUUUCAGGCUUGGUCAAGCGCGAUACAAACCAUGUAGUAGGAGUCCCCCAAGUCGCCGAGCUAGGGGAUCUGCUGAAAGAGGUGACAAACAAGGUAAGCAAUCAGAGCUCCGACUGAUUGUUCACCUUCUCCCCAUCUUGCAGCAGCAUGAAGGAUAAAGAGAAGAAAAAUGAGAAGAGAUGAUAUGGGAUACUUUUGCUUUUGAAGAAGUAACUUUCCACAGGCUUAUUCUUGAACUGAGCUGGAGGGUUUUCUGGUUUCCUCCAGAGUAUAAGGCCGACUGAAGAAUUUGAGGGUCAAAACAAGUCCAUCAAAUCUAGAGUACGUUCGACCCUGCUGAUAUGGGAUACUUUUGCUUUUGACAGAGUAAUGGAUGUAUCGGCACAUGUGCUGUUACGCUUGUCUCCACAUGCUUCCUUGUAUCCUUCGCACUUGCCCUAUCUGUUCCUCAAGCAGAUGCGGUAUCUUCCCUGGAAACAUAGGAUGUUGAAGAUGAGUACUCGAGAGCAAUGCCAGGUAAGUAAUCAGGUAAGGGGUUCCAGGCAGUCAGUUCCUGGCUAGGAGCUUGAUUUCAAGUGCUGACUGAUUGCUCUCUUUCUCCUUGUCUUGCAGGUAAAAACAAGGCCAAAGGAAAAGACAGGGAAAAAGCAUGAUAUGGGAUACUCUUGCUUUUAACCCUGAUGAUAUGAGAUAUUCUUGCUCUAGUAUAGCUUGUUUGCAGAGGUAUUAUCGGGGGGAAAGAAAGCUGAAUAUUUCGAAAGGCUUAGUUGAGAGUGCCCUCUCAGAUAUGAGGAAGGGUUGAGCAUUUUUGCAGGUCUGCCUGUCCGUUGGGGAUGGAGGUCGACAUAUAUAGGAGUCUCCCUAACAACAAGUAGUAAUGCUAUUCCUUUACCCUGCUUGGUCAAAGCACGGUAGUGGGAGCUGCCAGCUUCACAUGUUUUAACUCUGUCAGAGCACUUUGAAAAAGUGGUAUGUGGUAUCUGGCUCUUGAGAUUCGGAGAACGAUGCUUUUUCGAUUUUUGAGAAAGCAAUCAUGCUGGGGGUCUAGCUCUCGAGAUUCGGGGAGCAGUGUCUCUUCGAUUUUUGAGAAAGUAAUCAUGUUGGGAGUGGCUCUCGAGAUUCGGAGGGCGGUGCCUCUUCGAUUUUGGAGUAAGCAAUCUUGUUGGGAGUGUUUUCUCGGAUGUGAGUAAAGGUUGGGCAUGUUUGCUAGUCUACCUUGCCACGAAGCACGGAGGUUGACACACAGGGACUUUCCAAUUAUCCAGCAGUGGUACUGUUCCUUUACCCUUGUGGGUAAUAAUAUGGUAGCUAGACCUUCAAAAUUUAUGUGUCUAAACUUUGUUAGUGCUGUUUCUUUGCUAUUCUUUUACAUUUCUUGGUCAGAGCGAUGUAGUGGGAGCUGCAAGCUUCACGUGCUCAACUUUGGCAGAGACUUUGGCAAAGUUAUCUGUGGUACCCAUGAGCUAUUGUUGCGUGUGGGAAGUGGGUGAUUGAACAGUAAGAUUCAUGUGCUUUCUACUUCACCAGAAGUCUUCGACAGAAUGCCCAUAAUUUCCGCAAAGCUGAGUGUGCGUGUGACAGGUGCUGACAAGGUUAGAAAAGUAGGUGCCUCUUCGAUUUCUGAGAUCGGCCCUCGUGGUCUCUGAGUAGCCCAGCUUUUGAGAAAGCGAGCGCCUCUUCGAUUGAUUCGGAGAACGAUGCCUCUUCGAUUUUUGAGAAAGCAAUCAUGCUGGGGGUCUGGCUCUCGAGAUUCGGGGAGCAGUGUCUCUUCGAUUUUUGAGAAAGUAAUCAUGUUGGGAGUCUGGCUCUCGAGAUUCGGAGGGCGGUGCCUCUUCGAUUUUGGAGCAAGCAAUCUUGUUGGGAGUGUUUUCUCGAAUGUGAGUAAAGGUUGGGCAUGUUUGCUAGUCUACCUUGCCACGAAGCACAGAGGUUGACACACAGGGACUUUCCAAUUAUCCAACAAUGGUACUGUUCCUUUACCCUCUCUUCGAUUUUUGAGAAAGUAGUCAUGUUGGGAGUCUGGCUCUCGAGAUUCGGAGGACGGUGCCUCUUCGAUUUUGGAGCAAGCAAUCUUAUUGGGAGUGUUUUCUCGAAUGUGAGUAAAGGUUGGGCAUGUUUGCUAGUCUACCUUGCCACGAGGCACAGAGGUUGACACACAGGGACUUUCCAAUUAUCCAGCAGUGGUACUGUUCCUUUACCCUUGUGGGUAAUAAUAUGGUAGCUAGA
rnacentral:lncRNA from 1 species